UUUCCUCUAUACCAACCGUGCUUUGUAAGAGGUGAGUAGCUUCUCUUAUCUACGUGAUCAUUGAGUGACUGAUAAGCAUUUACAGGGAAACCGUUAUGUCAGUUGUUAAAAUUUAUUGCUUAGCACCCACAACUGUUUCCAUCUAGAAAUUAUAAAUGUGUGUGAAAUGUGCUAUUCUUUGUCACGUGACCAUUUCUCAAGAAGCCAAGUGGGCUAAUUAAUUGUUUGCACAAACCCUUUAUCUCUUUGCGCGGUUAGAUAUCUCGCCUGGCCCUUAAAGAGUUAAUUCUUUACAAAUCAGUAGGAUGAAAUGUAUGUGAGUGUCGAUUAUGAUCGUGUUUAGUUGUCAAAGUAUAAGGAGCAGGACUGUCUGACCAGAGGUAAGUUUACAGGGACAUUACAGCUCAUAUUCAUUUCCUGAACGUUAUCGGUAAAUGUUUUAAGCUGCUUAGUUUUGAGGAUAUCGGUGUUAUAAACAAUUAUAGAGGCUGGUUUAUAAAUGUAAUAUAAGUGUUUUGUUACCUUCACAAUCAGAACAAGCAGAAUGCGCUACAGAUUAUGUGAACAUCCUUUAAAUUCGAAUUAGUAAAGACAUGAUUUAUAGCACUAAUAUACAAACCCAUAUAAUAUUUAUAAUUUAUUAUAAAUUAUAAUAAUACUUUAAUAAAGUGAGAGUAAACAUACAUAUGGGUAUGAACAUCGCCGUUAAUGUAGCCGCAAUACAAUGUCUUAAUUAUUUACUUGCCAUUUAGCUAUAACAUCUAUUUAACUCUUAAGAAAUGGAUUAAAGCAUCAUUCAUUGAAGUAUAUCGUAAAAUUGCUAUUCAGUUAAUAGAGAUAAACUUAUUUCUGGUUUUAUAAUAAAGCCAAAUGGUCUUACCGCCAGUUACUACUUUGGCUCACAGAAUAACUUAACUUAAUUCAGGUAGGGUGUCUGGGAGAUAUACUGACAUGUGAGAUGGAUAAGUAACCUCUUCCACCCCCUAUGUUAUUCUACAAAUAGUCCAUGGCUUAUGUAUGGUAAUAUACUCCUCAAUUAGAGCAGGGAGGGCCACUGUGUAUACUGCUAUUGCCAUCAUUAUUUGCUAGCCUUUACUGUAUUCCUUUAAAUUCAUUUAUAGUGAAGGGGAAUAUGUAAAAAAAAAAGUGGGACAUAUUUAAAAACCACAAACAAAUUUAAUAAAUGCUUGGGUUACACUUUAUUUACCAAUUACAAGAUCACAUUGGAAGUGUUUGAUUGUAAGAUAUUUUAAAAAUUGCAUGUUGCUCCGUAUAUUAAAAAACAGCAACAAAACUCCUCCUAAUGUGCUUUUUAGAAUACCAUUAAAGAAACACUCCAAGCACCAGAUAUCAGUGAAGGUUCUUAGCCAAUGAGCUGGCCUCGCACUGCAGAGCUUAGUUCGGGAGAACUAACAGACACUCCUAGGAGGAGCCUUAAGCUCUCACUAUCUGAAGAAGAGAGGCACAUAAUGGUUCUGUUACCUUCUUCUCUCUGUCUGGUAGUGAGAGCCUGUAGUGGUUAUGGUUUCUAGAGGUUUUUUUUAAAUGCUUUCUCCCAAGGCACAGCAAAGCGGUCUGUUGAAAUCUGAUAAUUCUGUACGUGGCUCAUGAACAUGAAUACAUGUAAUGGGACUCAGGCGGUCUGCCUUGUAGCUGCCGAUGUAGAAGGAGUGGACUGUUUGUCUAAUGUGAGCUCUCCAGUAUUGGCUUGAGGACACAGGUAUCUAAUACCAUGUCAUGGUACAUUGAAAUGUGCCCUUAUAUCAUAUGUUGUUCCCCUGUGAAAGGACAUCAAUGCCCCAACCAUACAGACAUCCUGUGCCGACUUUAUAUCCCCCCGCAACAAUUUUGCAACCAGAUUAAAGACAAUGGUAUUGAUAUAAAUGAAAGUUUUAUAAUGAGUGAUAUAAUUAAGGUGUGCAAUGGAUGGAAUGGUAGAACUUACCUGGGUGCCCUUACCUACCUUCACGCAUGGAUUUCUACCUCUCUCUGGUAGUUUGUACAUACUAAAGCUCUAAUAUGUAUCCUCAUAGUAUUGAAUGACCUAUGAAACCAAUUGCUGUCCUAUGAUACAAAAGUGUUGAAACCUUCAUAAGCAUGCAGCAGCAUGACACCGUCCAUUAAAAAACAUUCCAAGCACCAUAACCACUACAGUGCCCUGACUCCCUCCCAGAUUCAGCAAUGAAACUUUUUAAGAAUGGUACCUGGGUGGGUCCCAUCAGGCGACUGCCCCUACCUUCUCUGCAGUCAGAAGCUCCUGCACUGAGCUAAGACCGGCUCAUUGGCUCUGGAGGUCCAUCAUUUGAAGGAACACUCAAAGCUCUCAGGGGAUUAUGGGAGAUGUAGUAAAGUAAUGGAGAAGAGCAAAGUCUGACAUCUCUGUUUCUUCUAAGUUACUGUUAGCAUCCUACAUAUGUUCCUGCCUGGCUACUCCAGGGUCAGUCACUCCUAAAUUCUCAUAAUUCUAUAUUGUCAUGUUGAAAGAAUGAAUGUACUGAUGACAGCUCUGGUGGCUGUAAGGUUCCAAAUGCCUUUCACUGUAGUGGUUUGAUGUUACCCAGCCUCAUUUUGUGGUGUAACUACUCCUGCUACUUCCGCAAACACCGAGAAGCUGAUAGGGCACUGGUUUUUUUUGCCAAACUGAAGGACAGCCACUUCUUUUUCUCCGAAAUAAGUGAGUGGGCACGGGCAAUUGACAACCCACUCACAGCUUAAACCCAGAGGAGGAACAAAACUUUUCCACUCAUCCAGUCUGAAUCAGGGCUGUGACAUUAAAAACCAAACACUACCAGCCAGGCCUUAAAGGGACACUCCACUCCCCAAAUAAAAAAAAUAAAAAAUAAAGAAAUCACUCUUUAGUAGAUACACCCCAAUUAAUACACGCAUGCAUUUUAAUGCAUGUAUUUAUUGGAUGUAAAUCUUACAACUGCAGUUCUUAUGAAGUGCAGCCUUUGCAAACCCUCCCUUUUUUCUCAUUGAGGGCUCCCACCGUGAACGCGCGAGCAGCAUGCUGACCUGACGUCUGGGCGCUGGUCUGAGGUAUGCAGGGAGGGGGAGAGAAGGGCGCACUCACAUAGAGCAAGCCUGCUACUUGUGAUAGUUCAGGGGAGCUAGUGAAAGCAGGAAGAGACCCCACCUAGCUGUUUGAUUGACAGUCGGUGGUUGUUUCAUUAAUUAUUUAUAAAUGUGACAAUUUCUAAUACAAAUCCGCACUUUUAUAACCUGUCAUUAAUGGGAUAAAAUGUAUUAUGGGAUACUCCUCACCCAUACAGCACUUCAGCAAUCAGACGUGCUUUAUGGGCGUGGAGGGCUCUUUUAAAUGUUACUCAACAGCCCACGGCCUACUCACCAGAAGUGAAUUUCUACUCACCAAGGCUAGAUUUUUACUUGCCAAUGACUAGUGGCGAGUGGACAGCUUGAGCCCUGGUGUGAAUAACCGUCCUUCAGUGUGGGAAAACAAACAGCGCCCUAUCAGCUUCUUCCAACUGUGUCUGCGAAGGUAAGAGGUGUAUCCGCAGCGCAAGGUUCAGCCAGGUAGGACGAAACCAAACAACUAUAAGGAAAGGUAUUUAAACAAAGUGGCAGGGGAGCGAGGCAAAAGGAAUAAUUUGAUUUUAUAAAAAGUGGAUUUUUCAAAAAUUAAAAGUGAUUGGUAACCUUCUCACCUGUUCCACUUUUUCAUUUUUUUGUAAAAAUCCCCUUUUUUCAAAUUAAACUACACCUGCUACUGCAAGGGCAUUGUUUGUUUCGCUAUCUGAAGGACGGUCACAGGCACUAAAGACUGGAUGUGUAGAAAAGCUUUGUUCUUCUCAGGGUGGAAGGGGUGAGUGGGUCAUCAAUUGCCCAACAACUUUAUCUUUUUUUUUUUUUUUUUUUAAAUUUCCCUUUUUUUAAUUACAUUUUACUCCUGCUACAGCUGCUCCUGUCCUUAUUUAUUAAUACAAAAUUGUAAAAGGAAAAACAAUUAAUCAUUAUAACACUUAAUUCCCUCACUUACUUUAGUACUUAUUUACUUAAGGGAGAAUUUAAAGUAAUUUUCAAAUUUAAAGCCAGAGUUACUGACUGGAAAAGUUAGCUCACCUAAAGAAUUUUUCCAAUUCGGCUAUUUGAACCCUAAAUUAGAAUUUAACUUUGAAUUCACUUUGACAUGCCACUUUAGUGAAUUACCUCGAUAAUGUAUAUAUUAAAAAAAAUAGAGAUAAAAAUAUAAUUCUGACAAUUGAAGAUUAUGCUAGCGUUAGUGUACUUAUAAUCUUAAUUUUAGUAAUGACAGGAGGCGAGUAUUUUGCAUAUAACUCUCUUUACUAACUCCACAUAGCAGUAAAGAAAAAGUGAAAACGAUAACCAAUCAAAAUGCAAUAUGCUGUAUAGUAUUCACAGUGAUGAGGCUCCUCCCCCUCUUUCGGAAGCGACAUCAGGCAAAACUCAAGAAACAAUAACGUCCAAACAUGUAUAACGUGCACCAACGUGUGAUUCCCCUCGACAAAACAGACUUUCACGGGGUGCGAACUGAUUCAGAGUGUCCUGCAACGUGCAGCGGUUGAUGUGUCCCAUUAACGAGGCUCCAGGAGCUGAAGGAUGAUUCAACUGUGUCCACUCUGAGAAGGAUCUGUGAACAUCGUGGAUUUAAACUGAAAUGAGAACGUGAAACGGAUUAGGCACUGAUCUUUCAACUGGUUGCAGUAUCGACCCCACAUAAUAAAGCAAUAUGAGACCCCCUGGAUAAAAGGUUAAUGCAUAAUAACCUGAACAUAACAGAUCCCAAACCAAGAGGAGACGAAGGUAUAGGUACCGGAUAAGACAACGGGAUAUAGAAAUAUACUUACGUGCAUCCACUCUUCCCAAGGGAGGGAAAGGGUGGGAAAAUACUCGCCUCCUGUCAUUACUAAAAUUAAGAUUAUAAGUACACUAACGCUAGCAUAAUCUUCAAUUUUACCACAUGACAGGAGGCUUCCUAUUUUGCAUUUUUAACGCUGAUGUAGAAGAGACAUAGCCGCACCUGAACUCGGGCGAAAGUAGAAUGUCCGAAAGGUAGAUUCCCUCGACCAGUCAGCUGACCGAAGGAUAUCCGCCAGGGACGCGCCUGCCGAGAAAGCCGAGGAGGCCGCCGCCCCGCGCACUGAGUGUGCACCGAAAUUAGCAUCCACACCCGCCAGAGAUAGGAUCCAUCGUACCCAUCUGGCGAGUGUGGUAGUCGAAACGGGAACGUGUGGCCUGACAUAGGAUACUAAUAACUGUCCCGAGGCAGAGGCCCGAAGCAAGGCAGUGGUCUCCACGUACUGAUGCAGGGUAGAGACGACGCAUAGCUGCGGUUCAGUAGCGAAGAAGGGAUAAAAGACCGACGUAGAGUCCGAUUUGGUACGUCGUGAUACGCGGAAGGUAACUCCCUCAGGGGAAACCGAAAAGGCAUUGAUGUCGAAAGCCCGCACGUCCGAAACCCGACGGAAGGAAACGAGGCAAAGUAAGAGGGUCAGUUUGGCCGAGAGUUGUCUGAGAGACAGUCUGUCAUUAGUCGGCCAAUCUCUCAGAAACCGUAGGACCACCUCCACGUCCCACAUGUGGGAGUACUUAGGUCCUGGUGGUCUCUGUAAUCGGAUACCCCUCAGGAGACGGCAUACCAGAGGGUCCUUCCCAACGGGAAUACCUAAGUUCGGGACGUGAGCCGCCGAAAUCGCCGAGCGCACGACGUUAAGCGAGCGGUAGGAGCGACCCGUAGAGAAAAGGUGUGAAAGAAAAUUCAGAAUAGCUGUUACAGGUGCCGUAAAUGGAUCGAAGUUCCGUUCACUGCACCAAGAGGACCAGGAACUCCAAGCUGAUAGAUAGCAUCGUCUGGUCCCAGGUGCCCAGGAAUCCCAUAUGAGGUCUCUAGCCGUUUGCGAUAAAUCGCAGGUUUGCCAGGCUCCCCUGAAAGCGUCCAAGCCACCAGGGUGAGGCGAUCUUCGAGGAUGAGAGGAUGGGGGUUCCCCUUUGGAUCCGUGAGGAGCAUCGGAUAGGAUGGUAUGAGAAGUGGAUCGGCGUAGGACAGUGCCAGGAGGUCCGGAAACCAUGGUUGGCCCCGCCAUAGGGGGGCGAUGAGGACUAGAGAUCCGUGUUGAUUCUUCAGGUAUUGAAUCGUCCUCGCUAUCAUGGCGAACGGGGGAAAGGCGUAUGCUCCCUCGGUUGGCCAUGAUUGGAGAAAUGCGUCCACCGCCGCGCUCUCCGGGUCCGGAAGCCAACUGAAGUAGUUGAGUGUCUGUCUGUUGUUGCGAGAUGCAAACAGAUCCAGUUGGAGGGGACCUCUCCUGCUCGAGAGGCGUUGGAAGACCUGAGGAUCCAGUCUCCAGUCGCUGCUGUCCCGCCAAUGGCGUGAAAACCAAUCUGCUGUCAGAUUUGUCUCCCCCGGAAGGUAUUCCGCCUUGAGGGAGAUGUUGCGGGGCAAGCAGAAGUUGAAAAUCUCCUUCGUUAUUUCGGAUAACAGUCGGGACCGAGCUCCGCCCAGGCGGUUGAUGUAUCGAACCGCGGAGACGUUGUCCAUCCGGAGGAGGAUGCAACAGUUCGAUCUGUCCUUUGCUAAGCUGCGAAUCGCGAAUGAGCCUGCUAGGAGUUCUAGGCAGUUUAUGUGUAGGUCGAUUUCCUGAGAAGUCCAGGCGCCUCCUGUCGACUUGCCUUCGCCCGUCGUGCCCCAGCCCCAAAGGCUGGCGUCCGAUUCCAGAACUAUGUCGGGCGAACUCCCGAAGAUGGCUCGGCCGUUCCAUGCCUCCAUGCUGUCUAGCCACCAUCUGAAUUCCUCCUUUACCUCCUCCGUAAUCGGGAUAGUUUGGUCGUAAGACGGGUUCCGGUGCAGGAAGGAGGUCUUCAGGCGUUGCAUUGCUCUGUAGUGCAGGGGUCCCGGGAAUAUGGCCUGUAUGGACGCGGAUAGUAGUCCCACAAUCCGGGCCAGAUUGCGGAGCGGAAUGGAUUGGCAGCGAAUGACUCUGCGUAAUUCUUUUUUGAUGGCCGCGAUCUUUGUCGUCGGCAGGCGUAACGUGCUGGACUUGGAGUCUAUUUCGAAGCCCAAAAACUGCACCGUCUGAGCUGGAGACAUUUCUGACUUCAGGAAAUUGACCACGAAGCCCAGUGAUGUCAGGAAGUCUACAGUAAAUUGUGUGUGUUGAGUCAGUCUGGACUUGUCUGAGCAGAACAGAAGCAGGUCGUCCAGGUAAAUAAUGCAACGAAUCCCUCGUGCUCGAAGAUGUGCGACUACUGGCUUCAUUAAUUUGGUGAAGCACCACGGGGCUGAACUGAGUCCAAAGGGAAGGCACGUGAAUUGCCAAGGCCGGUCUUGCCACUGAAAUCUGAGGAAUCGGCGGUAGUCGAUGUGGACGGGUACCGAGAGGUACGCGUCCUUGAGGUCCAGUCUCGUGAACCAGUCCCCGUCUUGGAGGAGGUCCCUCAGAAGAUGUAUGCCCUCCAUCUUGAAGUGCCUGUAUACGACGAAUGCGUUGAGGCCUUUCAGGUUUAUGACCGGACGGAAUUCCCCGGUCUUCUUCUUUACCAGAAAGAUGUUGCUGAAAAAUCCCCCCUGAUCGUGAGCGGGUUCUAUCGCCCCUUUCGAUUGGAGUUCCUCCAACUCGAUUUGUAUGAGUCGAUGGUCUUCCGUGGAACAUGUCCCGGGGUAAGGAGGUACCGUUUGGUUCGGGUGGCCCACGAAGUCUAUGACGUAGCCCUGUACGGUCUGCAGGAUCCAUGCGUCCGUCGAAAUGGUUGUCCAAUUCUGAAAAUAGAGAGCAAUACGACCUGCCGUUUGUGAAGUAAGGGGUACGUGAGUCACAUAUCGGCUUACCUGUGGGGGUGAAGCGUGCUCUGCCACGGCCCCUUGAUCCACGACCUCGGUCGGCUCUCCUGGUGUAGGAGAAAGGCUGUCUGUAGCCAACUUCCGGGUAGAAUGGUUGAGGUCUUUGUGAGCGGGGGCCUGAAGGCCAAAAGCGGCUGGCUGCACGGCCCCUGUAGCGGCCAGCCCGUCCAAAAACGCCCCGGUUAGGGUUAUUCCUGAAGACCCGCUUCAUGGUGGUCUGAGCUUUGUUAAGCGACGUGAACACGUUCACGUGUCUGUUCAGGUCCUUCAGGAAAGCGUCCCCGAACAGCUUGCCCUGUGCCAGUGGUCCUAAUUCUCUGGUGCCCAAAUCCACCAGCUUUCCGUCUAAGCGGAGUAAUGCUGCUUUCCUCCUCUCAGAGGAGAGGGCCACGUUGGCAUUGCCAACAAAACAAAAACAGCGUUGUGCCCAUUCUCUUAUGUCGUGAGCCCAUUCACGUACCAUGUUGGUAUCAAACUGUUCAGCUCGGGUGAGGGCGUCAUCCGCCAAGUACAUGAUGCGGGAGAGGGGGCCGAUCGCAUCCAGCAACAUGUCUUGUACGCUAUGGAAACCCUUCUCCACCCCUUUACGGGGAUCCCGACCACCCCGAGACAUAAAGGUGGUCAUGACCUGGUCGAAUUCCGGGGUCUGAGCCACUUGAUCUGGUAGUGAGGGGCGAGGACAUUCGGAACACAAGCGGUUGCGGACCGUCUUAUCCAAUGGUUUGCGUAGCCACUUGUGCAUGAACUUCGCCAGGUGUUCGGGGGGUGUCCAGUCCCCCGAACGCGGGUGUCGAAUGUUCCGUGGGUCGAAUAAUCGCUGGCCCGAGGGGUCCAAGAUGGUUUCGCCUUCGUCCUGCGUUUGUGCCGGGUCGUCCGGCAGUUGAAUGUUGUCUAGGAAGGUGCCCUGUAGGAAACCAGGGCGUGACUCAUCCUCCGAGUCCCAGGCGUUUCCCUCUUGGGAAUCGGAAUCCAUGGCCUGCCAUGAGUCCAAAAUCGCCAUGGGUGGCGAGUGUCUCCCCUCCUCGUCUGAGGAGUAAUUGCGUCCUGGGGAAGGGACAGCCGGAGCUGGCUUACGCCUUUUUAUAGGGGUCUUGCCCUUGUCGGGGUUGGCGUUCCCCUUUUCGCCCUUCCAGUGGCGUUUAGAGGGCCGAGUAUCGGCUUGUGUGUGUGAUUCCGAAGCCUCGGAAUCGUAGUCCUGUUGCUGGACCUUAGCAGGGAUUUUCUGUUCGGCAGAGGCCGUCAGAACCCUGGAGAGUGCCUUCUCCAUCGAGGCCGCUAUAGCCUCACUGAUCAUAUUUUGAAAUUCAGCAGUGUUUUGAGAAGAAUCCAUGGUGAAAAUAUUGACCACAAAAAUUUGUACUUGGCACAGGGCGCAGAUAGGGUCAGGGGUCAGUCUGUAUUAGUAAUGGUACCAGCAGUACCAGUUCAACCCCAGCAGGGUGAAUAGUAAUUACGUGCAGUGGUACCGGCAGUACCAAAACCCCCAGCAGGGUGUAAUAAUAAAAGACUCAGGUAAAUGCACGUGGUACCAGCAGUACCUGUAACCCCAGCAGGGUAUUAUUGGGUUUUUUCACUGGGCCGCACCCAGGUAUAUGGAGGAUGUAUAGUCACACCUCAUAAGCAGCAUAAGUAUUAGGGGCCGCACCCCAAGAGCACAGGGUAUUGCAACCCUAUUGUGCUUUAGUACACAGACUGUAUUAACUGACCUUGUGACCCUUGCCUUCAACACACUUGCUAGAAGAUUGUCUGGGACGUGUUUGAGGGUGACCGGGUGUAAGUAGGAGCCAGGCACUGUCUGCAAGUGGCUCGGUGGGGCUUAAAAUGGCAGCCGUGGAUCUUGCGAGAUGCGAGAUCCAAGAUGGCCGCCGCCGGCGCCGGGAGCGAAAAUCCCGUGAGCGCCGGUCGGGAUGCGCGCGGUCGAGAGACCGCGGGGUGAGGGUGGAUGAAAGGGGUGAGCGUUACCCCAAAGGUGUCCUGGAAUGAGCAAUCCGCCGUUUGGGCGGCGGAUAGCUCGAGAAAACGGUCGCCAAGCCGGCGGAGGAAAGAACCCAGAAAAGGGCCCCACAGAUAAGGGGAGACAGAGAAUACAGGGACAGGAGUCCCUGUGGGAAGAGAUAAAGAGCAGAAUAUAGGGUAGGAUGCAAUAGUCAUAUAAAUAACAUAAAAGUUAAAGUUAAAGGUACAAUAUAUUUAGUCAAACAAACAGUAAUGAAGAGGAAGAGCUGAAACUCUGACCUGUCUGCUGAUGGAGCAGUAAAGAAAGAGGGGGAGGAGCCUCAUCACUGUGAAUACUAUACAGCAUAUUGCAUUUUGAUUGGUUAUCGUUUUCACUUUUUCUUUACUGCUAUGUGGAGUUAGUAAAGAGAGUUAUAUGCAAAAUAGGAAGCCUCCUGUCAUGUGGUAAAAUUUGACAGCUCAGAAUUUGCAUUGUAAAAAUGUCCGAUAUUGCAUAGCAUUUAGGCUGUGCAAUAUUGUAGCUGUUUUUUGCAUUGCAGGACACUAAUAGGCAUCUUUUAAACCUCCUCUUGGCUUUUCCAAAUAUUUCUUUAAUUUUUUCUGUGGACGAUAUUCCGACGAGCCAAACUACCAUAGAAACACGUAUCGGACUGCCUGAACACAUUUUCCUUUUCUGAUGAAGUGGUUCAGCCAAACCAAAUUUUCCCCAUGCAGAAGACUAAUAUUACUUUGUCUUUCUUAUAAACAAAACUUUUAAUAUACUCCAAAGAAGAUGAAAAAAUUUUCACCUCACUUAAUUAGUCCCUGUUUUAUGAGAAAAUAUAAGAAGAUAAACUUGUCAAGUUAAUAUUUAAUUGGGGUUCUCAGUUUCACUAGUUCUGUUUUGGAGAGAACUUUGUGUAAGAAUCUUAUUAUUAAGACCAUAAUUAUGCUAUCGAGAAUAUAACAGGCUAUAUUUCUAGGGAUCUUUUUAAUCUUACAUUCUAUCGUCAAAUGGAAUUUCAAAACGCGGUUGUACGGUCGAUUAGGGUGCAUCUCCGCUGGUUGAAAAGAUCAUUUAAAUGACAUUUGGAAAGUUAAACUUCGUUUAAGUUCGUUUUAUUACGUUACAGUUAAAUUUUUUUCAGAGUGUAAUUAUUUUGUUGGUAAAGAAAUCUUGAAAUGUGUAACUAUAUAUUUCAUUCAAAAUGCGGUCCCCACAAAGUGUUGUAGGAACCACAACCCACCAUAAUACUCAGAAAAAAUCAGGGGAUUAUGGGAGAUGUAGUAAAGUAAUGGAGAAGAGCAAAGUCUGACAUCUCUGUUUCUUGUAAGUUACGGUUAGCAUCCUACAUACGUUCCUGCCUGGGUACUCCAGGGUCAGUCACUCCUAAAUUCUCAUAAUUCUAUAUUGUCAUGUUGAAAGAAUGAAUUGAGGAAAGCCGGGGGGUGGGGGGAAUACAAUACCAUGUUGUUAACAGUUUUGUUAUUUGCAAAUUAAAUGGCUUUUACAAGCAUUACUGUGAGAUUUAGCAAACCUGACUCAUGUAUAUCUGUAUGAUUCGCACAUUCUAAAAGUCAGCAGUCAGCGAGACACAACUGCUUAAGUUUUCUUCACAGUUUGCUAACAACACAACUGACUCAGCCAAAACAAUCAUAUCCUGUGGGCUUAUAUUACUAUGGAACAUAUGUAGUGAAGGUAGAAAUGUGUCAUUUUAACAUGUGCAACAUGUCUGGAAAAAAAUGUGAACUAUGGAAGCCAUUUAUUUUUAGAAAAGAGCGCGUGUCCUUAAACAAGGGGAAACUAAGCCAACGUCUUUAUAUUGUUCUGAAUGUUUAUUUAAUAGGCGUGAAUUUUAAUGUGAUGGGUAGCACCUAUCCAGAGGUAGCAUUAAUCACAAUUGACAUCUAAAACUAAAAAUGGAGAGAAACGUAAAAAAAACUAAAUUAUUUUGUAAAUUCAGUGGUUCUAUGCAGUAGUGGCUGGUGAAGUUUUAAGAUGGUGGGGUGCUAGGCUCCACCCCCAGGACUUUACUCCUCCCUAUACAGUACAGAGAUACUCCUACAAUACAGAGAGAUGAGCAUAAUAAAACAUAAUUAUAUAGUUAGAUGGGCUGGGCACAACAUAAAGAUAUAUAUAUACAGUACAAUGCAGAGAUAACCAUACCACAAACAGAGCUGAAAACAAUAGACACAAUACACAGAGCUGGGCACAACACAAAGAUACCUAUUAAACACACAGGGCUGAUAGACUACACAUAUACCCAUAUAGCAGGUAGAGCUGAGUCAAACACAGAGAUAACAUACAGAGCUGGGCACAAUAUGGAGAAACUCAUAACUAUCUCACAAAUGGGGUUCCGCUAAAAAUUUCGGGAAACAAAAUGGCUGCCGCGAUAACUGAGUCGGGCAGCGAGAGAGCUGAGCAGGGGAGAGUGCUCCCUCGCCGCCCACCUCAAUUAUUGGCAUGCCAGCUGCUCAGCUCAGCAGCUCCACUGGACCCCAGGGACUGCACGCUAGCUGCUUAGCCCAGCAGCCCCACUGGACCCCAGGGACAUAGAGACUCCAUGCCAGCACUCUUAAAGGUAGGGAGGCUGGGUGGGGUGAAAUUUAAAAAAAUAAAUAAAUUGUGUGUGUGUCUGUCAAGGAGUUUGUAUGUGUGUUUGUGAGUGAGUGUGUUUGUCACUGAGAGUGCAUGUGUGUUUGUCAGUGAGUGUGUGUGUGUGUGUGUGUGUGUGUGUGUGUGUUUGUCAGUGUGAGUGUAUGUAUGCGUGCUUGUCAGUGAGUGUGUAUGUGUUUGUCAGUGAGAAUGUAUGUGUGCUUGUCAGUGAGAGUGUAUAUGUGUUUGUAUGUGUGUCUGUCAAAGAGUAUGUGUGUGUUUGUCAGUGAGAGUGUAUGUGUGUCCGUCAAAGAGUAUGUGUGUCUGAGUGUGUCAGUCUGUUUAUCUAUGGGUUACAAGUGUGUGUAUGUGGCACUGUGUGUAUCUGAGUGUGUGUGUAUUUGUGAGCCAAGAUGUCUGUGUGUGUCACUGUGUGCAUCUGAGUUUGUGUAUCUGUGUGUCAAUGUGUGUGCCUGUAUGUCAGUGUGUGUAUAUCUGUGUGUCACACACACACACACACUGACACACAGCUACACACACUGGCAUAUACAAACACAGAUACACACACCGUGAAACACACCAGCACAUACAAACACAGAUACACACACCUUGACACACACCGGCACAUACAAACACAGAUACACACACUUUUACACAUAGAUAUACACACCUUGACACACAGAUACACACUGUGUGUCAAGGUGUGUGUAUCUGUGUGUCAGUGUGUGUAUCUGUGUGCUACUAUGUGCCAGUGUGUGUGUAUCCGUGUGUCAGAUUCAUACACACUGACAAACAUAUGCACAAACUGGUACAUGCAAACACAGAUACACACCGGCACAUACAAACACAGAUACACACACUUUGACACACAGAUACAUACACACACACACACAGAUACACACUGUAUGUCAAUAUAUGCUAACAUUCAUGAUGUGUUUUUAUUGUUUGUACUUUACUUGUUUUUACCUGUGACUUGGAAUUGUGAGGUUUUAUAACAAUUUGUGCACAAAUCACCUUGAUCUGUUUUAUUUUUCUAAAUGAAGUUGUUAUGGUGCCAGGAGGCCCUUGGAUGCACUCUUACCUCAAGGGGUUACACUGUUCUUGAACCCAGAGUUGCCUCCAGCAGCGAUGUCCACUCUCCCUGAAACGUUCUAACUGUACUGUAUGUAUGCGCCACUUGAGACAAAGGUUAAGAAAAACGUAUGUUAUACUUACUGUUAUAGUAAGUAAUGAACCAUUUUUCUUUUUCGUUGGCCGAGUAUGGCAGCUUAAUGCUUUCCUAAUGUUUCAUUAGUAUUAAAAAUGUUUCUCAUUAUAUGAUGAAUAAUAUGAAGCAGUAACUUACUAAACAAAAAGUAAGUCAGUUGCAAAAUUCUUUAGCUUCUUUUUAUUUCCUACUCGGAUACUUUUGUGUAAAAUUUGAAAUCAACUGAUUUCUCCACAAUUUUCAUUUUAGUAAAUACUUCUAAUGGUUGCACUGUUUUAAAGAAAGAUUAUUUGCUCAUUAUCAAGCUAAAAUGUCUCAUAUUACCAAAAACAAAAUAAAUAUUUCUCCGAUACAUUCCACCACAUUCAACCAAACUCCAAAGGACUAUAGAACUCCAUUUUUAAGUCAGGUUGCAAGAAAAUUUACAUAAUGAUGCAUAAAGGUUGUUGGCGUCCUGUGAAGCGGGAUGCUAGUGGUAGAGGUAAAAGUGGUCAGGCCAGUGAUAUGAUUUGCUGCACCGGGUCCACCCAAAGGGGGCACAUGAGGUAUUUGGGAAGGUGGCGGGUCUGCCUGUAGAAUUUACAGGUCAGCCUGGUAUGAAUGCACUCCAAUUAAGUAGGUCGUUUCCCCAAGGGCAGACCAUGCAGGCAACACUGCUCAUCUCUCUCUGCGGAGUCAAACUGUCCUGAACAUAGCAUGACAGUGUGUUUAAUUAUGUGCAUGCGCUAUGCUUGUUGGAAAAAGUUCCCUCGAUUCCCCAAAAGCAGGAGACCAGAGAAUAACGUUGGGAUGCAAAAAACAGGACUGUCCCACUGAAAUCAAGAUAGUUGGUAGGCUUUAAUGAAUAGUAAAAACAAAGAUAUUUCAGUUGAUAUAUACAUUUUGCAAAAACUUACUUGUUUUGAAAGCAGAGCUGCACAAUCUCCAAAUUAUUACAUUUUGUACAUAAAACCCUACAUGCAUUGCUUAGAGACAUUGUUUAAUAACAAUACUAAAUAUAUUUUACUUAUUAAUAACACUGCAUGGAUGAGAUAGCAUUCUAGGAGCAAUUACCAUUUUCUUUGGGUCAUGACCACAUUCCAAUAUUGUAAAAAGGUCAAAAGUUUAAAUGGUAUCCUUUGUGCUAGACGUGGUGUUUUACAAAAUACAGAACAAAAGUGAACCUUACACUUAGAGGUAAGAAAAAUAAUCUUUCGCAGGUCAGUUUGUUCUCACCCAGAAUUUUUAGAACUGUGUUUACCAGCCAUUAAAUUGACUAGUUUAUCCUUGAAAAUUUAUGGUGCGUUCUCUUACAUUUAAAAAUACUCGUUUGUCGAAAAUAGCCAGUUGUUUUUCUGACGGAUUUAACUUUAUCAGUACCUGCAGUUGUUACUAAAGGAAAUUCGUUCAUUUUUUCAGCAUGUGAACAUAGGAGUGCAAAAAAAAAGGAACACAAGUGAAAAUAAUUCUCUGAGUGCAUGUAAAUGUUGUCAAACAUACUGACAUUUCCAUUUAAUGUGGUAGACCACAAAGGAUCUGAGAAGCUAUCUCAUUGGUCCAUACCAUCCUCUGUUGAAUUUACAACACAUUCUUGUGACAGUCUGCAACUGCAAAGAAAUAAUAAUAAUCGAAAUAGUUGAAAUGCAGCCAGCACGUGUACGAUUUACUACAAAAAAUACAUGAAACUCCCGCAAGAACUUCAGAGGCAGUGCAUAGGGAGGAAAUUUGACCACUAUAGUUGAAACUUUUUUGUAAGUCUAUGAAGAUCCGCUACACCAGUGGUUUCCAAACCAGUCCUCAAGGCACGUCUACCAGUCCAGAAUUUAGGGAUUGCCCAGUUGUGUUAAGAUGUUUUUUUUUUCUUUCUUUCUAAAAACACCUUAGACACAAUUGGGUAAUCCCUAAAUCCUGGACUGGUAGGUGUGCCUUGAGGACUGGUCGGAAACUACUGCUCUACACCUUGGAUGACUAAGCAGUGGUAUCAUCGAUGAUUGCCUGUAGUGUUCUGCAUUCGAAAUUCCUUGAUUACCAGUAUUUUAACUUGUAAAAUAAAGAUAUACAUUUGCCAAGAGACUCGUCUACUUCUUCCUAGUAUUUUCCAGCAAUUCCAAAGCUUUACUAUAAAUAUUCAUCACUAUUCUAAUACAUGACUUCACAGUUUAAACUAAGCAUGAAUGGAGUUAUAUAAACAUUUGUAGCCCCCUUGAAUUUAGACCAUUCAAUUUUGCUGCUUUUGCACCACCUUCUGAAGAACAUGAAGUGAUACCGUUGUUUGGUGUUUCACUGUGGACCCUGGACCAGUUGUCUUCAAUCCAGGAUUUAAAGAACACUAAACAAAGGCAUUUCCCAACUCUGUUACUAUGUACUAUGGGAAAGUCACAAAACAUGGACUGUGUUAUGCCUCCUGGACAGGAAUGGAAACCAUUGCCAUAGGUCAGGAGUAGGCCUUCAGCACUCCAGAUGUUGUGGAUUACAUCCCCCAUAAUGUUCGUAUAGCCAUAAUGCAGGCAAAGUAUCAGCAAAAGUGUAGUCCACAACAUCAGGAGUUCAGAAGAUUGCCUACCUGUGCCCUAGACUAUAUCCUUUUUAGAGAUCAAACUAUCGUGCCUCCAUUUCAUCUACGAAAACUGCCUGUGAACUUCAUGUUGUAAUUUAUGUAGAAUAAAAUAAAAUCCCAUAAUUCCAUCAGACCCUGGAAGAUACCAGCAUCAACGAAACAAAAGAAUCAAUAGUUGGGAUUGUUAUGAAAAACCUAUUAAGCAUAAAACCAACUGCAUGUCAGUAAAGGAAAAAUACAACAGAAGAUAAUAAAAUAAAUGUGCACAGUUCAUCCUUCAGGAAUCUGCUCUCAAAUCAUGUCAACAUAUGGAAUCUGAUGAGACGAUUUAUACCAUACAUGGUAGAGAAUUAAGGUGACAUCAUUUCCUAAAAGUUGUUCCAUGUACUUAAUUCAGUUUUUUCUGUUUCAUUAAGUUAUUAAAAUAUAAAUAGAAGAAGAUUUUUCAUUGGGCGAAGCAGACAAUGUAGAUUUCGCAAAAAGUAUCCUAAACACAUGAUACAAAAAUAAAAAUACUUAUUUUAUAUUUCUGCUUAUUUACGAAUGUGCUCAAUAGAAAGAUUGUGGCACAUAUAGAUAAUCAGUCUUAAAAACUUUAGAUAAUAUAAAGAUUAUUAUUAAUCACAAAUCACUAGCAUAUUCAAGAAUGGUGUAAAAUUAUGCCAAAUCUUAAUAAUAGAGGACGUAGAUGGGACCAGAGAUAAAUGAGCUACUAAUCUGAAAUGUAUUCAAUUUAUUACUCUGAAUGAUCUCCAAAUUAAAAAUCUUAUUUGUGACAAGCACAUUUGCAAGCUUUCACCAUUAGAUGGCAGCAUUAUUAUUAUUGUAUUUAUGAAGCAUCAACGUGUUCAUUAGGGCUGUACAAUGGUUGUCUAUUUUACAGGGUAAUUUUGACAUGUAAAUCCGGACAAACACAUUUAGCCAUGUGAGAAAGGUCUGGUAAAAAGCAUGAGACUUGUUGGGAAUGCAAAGAGAAUUCAAACUUAAUUUAAAAUUUAAGGCCAAAUUACCCUGAAAUAGUCAGCUUUGAUUCUAGUUCAGCUAUUUUUGUCUUAAAUUUGAAAGUCACUUUGAAUUCCUGACUAUUCUUACUAUAGUACCUAGCCCUACAAAAUAAGUGUUUUAGUAAACUGAGAGCCAACUAGUAAAAUUCACAGGGUUUUUCACUACAGUGAGAAUCCAAAGUAAAUUCAAAGUGAAUUUUGAAUUUAAAGUUAAAGGGUCACCCCAGACUCCUAAAGCACUAUAGCUUGCUGAAAAACUUAAUAGACAUUGACACUUUUAUAAAUUAACCUGGUUACACACCCUUUGCGUUUCAAUCAGACAAAAGUUAAUGUUACUUCCUGGUAUAGUUAGCUCUGUGGAGCUAAACUAAAGAGGCAGAUAUUGCCUAGAGCACCUACCUCUCGAGCUGCAUUGGGAAGUCUGUGAUUGGACAGUCACAGAAAGUCGUGGCAGGGUUAGAGGGGAGGGCUUAUAAAAGCCACAUACAAGAGAGCUACAUUUUUUGCAAGCUGUUUUUAGAUAUAAGUCCAAUGAAAAAAAAAUGCAUAAUUCAAUGCAUGCAAUUUUUUAUUUGGGGUAAAUCUAUUAAACAGUGAUUUUUUUUUUUUAAUUUGGCCAGUAUGUCCAGUGUCUCUUUAAAAUAAUCAGUUCUGAUUUUCAUUUGGCUCCUCUUGCCUUAACCCCUUAAGGACACAUGACAUGUGUGACAUGUCAUGAUUCCCUUUUAUUCCAGAAGUUUGGUCCUUAAGGGGUUAAAUUCAAAAUUCACCUUGAAUUCACCUUCAAUUCCCACUUUAGUAUAUAAUAACACUAUAAAAUAGACAAAAUGCUUUGGCUUAUAUUUUUGCACUGUUUAGUGAAUAAACCUGAGUUUAAAAAAAAAUCUGUCUACGACUAUCUACACAGUUCAUAUUGAACCCAUGCAAGGAAAUUAUAUGCAUGUAUGAAAAGAAAAACAAUCAUUUAAAAAUGGCAAAUAGGAUUCUGCAGUGAUAGAUUUGAAAUACAAAUCGGAAUUGUUUUGUUACACAAGAAAGACUGUGUAAGAGGUUUGUUACAUUCCUUCCAUAAAACUUCUGGUAAUGCUGAGAGCUCUAUUUAUUUUUACAGGGCUACUGAAAGGGUUCUACGGAACAUUUACACAAGGCUGCAGUUUCAUUUUUUUAAAUAGAGGAAAGUAAUUCAAUCCAUCAAAUUUGGUUAACAAGGUAGACUUAUGCAGAAAAAAAAACGACAUUGCUCAAUUCAUAAAUAUAUAUAUAUAUUUUUUUUUUUGUUGCACGUAUGUUUAUUUUAGAGUUGAGAUUUAACUUAUUCUGUGCCAGGUGUGCAAGCAACAAAUGCUAAGACACAAGCUGGAGUGUGUGGGGACAUAUUGCUAAAUAUGAAGCAAUUUUGCUGGUGGACGUUAUGCAGUGCUCAUCCAUUGAUGUCAUGAGUCUAACCUACUGCUAUCACUCUUUGAUGGGACUCGGUUAGUGCUAUCAUCCCCUUACAGCAAACAGUUUUAUUUUCCCCUUAAUGAAAAAUAUUCAGCGCUAUCACACCUUUACAUGAAUGGUACACAAUGAUACCUUCCUUCCCUAAAUGAGAUGUUAGCAGAGGAAUUAUCCCUUAAUGGAACUUACACAGUGUUAUCCCUCUGUAAUGGGACUUACACUGUGCCCUCACCUCUUAAUAAGAUUUAAAAAGCAUUAUCACAACUUAAUGGGACUUAUGCAAUACUAUCAGUUCCUUUACGUUACUUAUACAGUGAUAUCACCCCUUAGUGGGCCUUCACAGCAGGAACACACCAUUAAGGGACUCACACAGUGCCAUUUUUUGGGAUGUUUGUGUCUACAUGAUAUCUCUGUAGCAAAGAGGGUGUCUAUUAAGUAUCCCUUAAAUUUAAUUCCUGUUCAAAACAGCCUACACGUUAAAAUCUGGAAAUUGCGAUUGUAAGUUUGACUUAUCAAGACGUUGUCUUAAUAAUGCCUAAAGGAAUUCUAACUGAAAUACAAUGUAUUACUAUAUUAAUGUGGCUAUAACAAGCAGAGGAUUCUAUAGUAGUGUGGCUAUACUAGACGUAAGGCCCAAAGGAACAUGAGGAGUGCGUCAUGCAAAAUCUUCCCCCAUCUUCAGCACAACUGAAUUUGAAAUACGUGCAAAUAGUUCUGUCUGGAUAUAAAACGUUUAACGUGCUUACACAAUUUACAUUGUUAGCCAUUUUAAGAGAGGUGUGCAGCCCACCCAUUCACUGCAAAUGAGAGGAGAGUAAGAUGAAAAAAGGCUCCUUUUAGUGAACAGUGUGAGCUACAUCAUUUGUACAAUUAGAUGUGCUAGCCAUUACAAACAUCAGCACAAUUAGAUUAUUAUCAGUUAUUUCAUAGAUGGUUAAGCUAAUGACUUGUAAAUAUUUUUCUCUCUUUAGAAAUUCUAUGGCGUUUCAAACCACAAAUCACUUCCUCCCUUAUUCCCACUUAUGCCACAGCUAUUCAAUAAAACGUCCAUUGUGUGGCAUAAUUUAAGAGGGUCGUAUUUCAGGCUGGCUGCUUACCGGAACACACUCUUUAAUAUGCCAAUUAAAACCCUUUACCGUUUUAUCUGCAGUUUUGUGUUUUGUGUACAAGCACUUAUUUGGCAUUCCUUAGCCAGCUGAGGGCCAGUGUUAUAAUGUCCUUGUCACCUCCUUAUUACAUCAUCACAGCUAAAAUUAAGUUUGUAUCUGUUUUGUUUGUUGAGUGCGUGUCUUCUUCAAGAUAGUCUUCAUUUAACUGAUUUCAUACUAUGUUUCAACUCAAUUGGAGAACAUUUACUAAACACUAAAUUGUACCAAAUUGAAAAACAAGUUUAAAACUUUGACAAAAAGUGCUAGUUUGAUAAAAUUCACCAAACCAACUAUAAACUCAACUUGGCUAUUUUAACCUGAAUUUUGCAAUUUAGUUUUCAGUCCGUUACAGUUCGGUAUUAGGUAAAAAAAUAAAUUUCAAAAAAACAUAAUCUUGUUACAUUUCAUUUCACUUUAUGUGUUUGGUGGGCUUACAUUUUGGUUCAGCAGACAGUGAUACUUCUUCAGCAAACACAUACAAUUACAAUUAGUUGUGUAGCUCCAACAUAUUCCACAGCGCUGUACAAUGGGAAGCAAGACAAACAUUUAAUUCUAAAGAACAUUUAUGACAUUAGUGAGAGCAAUGGGGGGUGGAUAGUACACCAUUGAACAAAAUAGUGAAAAUCACUCAUAAUUUCUUAACCUUUUUGAUUGUAACUCAUUUGGGCAGGGCCCCGCCUGCUGUUGCCUUUUGUCCAACAUGUUGUGUUAGAAUUUUAUUGUUUGUUUUUAGCUGUUAAACAGCACUGUGUAAUAUAUAAAAAUAACUGUAACCGUGAUGCUCAGUUUUCUAUUAAACGUUGUAUUAAAUAUUUAGCCAUUAGCAUUAUAAUCCGGUUCAGUCUUGGCCCAGUCAGCGAACACAUUGUAUUGGCAGUCUCUCUAGGUUGCGAUGCUGUGGACAUGCCUCACGUGUCUAGAAUUACAAUACAUUUUUUGGACGUUAAAUGGUAAAUAUUACUGAUUACUGUUUUAAAGCUCACUCUGAAAAGUUUUAAUAGCAGCCAUCUAAUCCCAAAAUGCUUCACAAACAUACAGUAUAUUUUAGUAGAAAUUAAGCCCACCUAUGAUAUUUAUCUCACAAUAAUAUUAGUGUAUAUUUUAUAAAAAAGAUGUUUAUAUUUAUCUGUUUGUUUUUUUUCACACGUUUAAUUUUCGUGAUGAAUCCAACUACUGUGAAGACCUUACGUUUGUAUUUGGCUGUCCCCUCCACAUAUAUCAGUACCCCUCAAGCAGAGCUUUGUGAGAUUUGCAAAAAAUUAGAAGAUCAAAUUACGACUAUGCCAAUCUCCAUUGUCAGGCUACCAGUUUGUACUGACUGAAUCACUGGGUCCAUGUAACUUGUAGCACAUACUGCACUUUAUUCCCUCAUGAGAGAACAUCAAAAAAAAAAUGUCGGCUGUUUAAUAAGGAGCAUUCUGAGUAUUUUUACUUGGCUGUUUCAUUACCUAUAUCUGCCGAAUGUAGUAGUAAAAUGUGCUUUUUGUUUCACAUACAUGUAUAUUAACCCCUUAAGGACACAUGACGGAAAUAUUCCGUCAUGAUUCCCUUUUAUUCCAGAAGUUGUGUUCUUAAGGGGUUGAAAGGGAAUUUUAGAUUCUGCUAUAGCAAUUCCCAUAUGCAUACCAUUGCCGGAUUGGGGUCAAACUACAGAUCUGCUCAAGUUUGUCAUUAUACUCUAUCUGCUUCCCAGAUACACUAUCUAGUGACGUGACACUGUGUCACCAUAGUGACCAGCAUCAAACGUCAGCAUCAUUACAAACUAAUUAAUCUUCUUUCUAUUUAACCUUAACUAACCUUAAACUUAACUAACCAUAACUAAUCAUAACCCUAGCAAACCCUAUCCUUAGAUAACUAGGAAAUAAUAAUAAUACUAACCCUAAUCCAAGCUAUCCCUAAGCAAUCCUUACCCUAGUUAACCCUAACUUACUCUAACAAAUUAUAAUCCUAGCUAACCCUAACUAACCCUAAUCUGGAUAAAACUACCAAUGCACUGUUAAGCUAUCUGGACUUUAGGUUGAGUGGUACAAUAGCGACCAAUUACAGUGAUUCCAUAUCUUUAGCUUUUAAUUACUGUGUUUGGCUGUAACAGUAAAGCGCUGCGGAAUUUGUUGGCGCUAUAUAAAUAAUAGCAUAAUAAUAACAGAGAUUACUCAACCUGAGAACUAGUUCAGAUGUUGUUUUGGUUUAUUUGUUUGAAUAAAUUGACCAGAAAUUGCACAGAACUGUAAGGAGAAUUAGCAAAUUUUUAAAAAUAGCUUAGUUUAACCCCUUAAUACCGGAGGGUGUACUAUUACGCCCUAUUCUAAGCAGCUCUAAACGCCGCAGGGCGUAACAGUAUGCCCUCACGGUUUUUCUUACUUACCCGGUCCCAGGGAGUCCCCCGCGGCGGAUCCUGCCUUCUCUGGCCCCCCCCCCGGCCAUGUGAGAUGUGAGAGUGAGGUCCUUGCGAGGAGCUGGCUGCUGCAUUGUCAGCAGGGAGACUGCCUGUAAUGACAGUUAGUCCUCCUGCUGGCUGAAUUAAAAUAAACAACAGUUAAAAUCAGCGUAAAAAAUAAAUAAAUUAUGUACUUAGAUCAUAUAUAUAUAUAUUUUAAAAAUCUUUCAACAUUGAAGUUGCUGUUUAGUGGAUAGGUGAGUGCGCUGGAUCUUGUGUAUUGUAUUAUUUGCCCCCCAGCAGCACCCCCAUUUAUGCAUGUUAAGGUGAGUGCAGCCAACCCCCUCUUGUUUUAUAUAUAUUUGGGAGUCUAGCCAACUCCUUGGUUUUGCACCCCUCCCUGUCACAGGUGCCUCAUCCCAGGGCCCUAUUUAGCCUUGUACUGCAGAGAGCCCCAGAUGGAAUUUCUUUCCCCAAGUAGGUUAAUGUCAUAAGAGCAGACAUUAGGCUGUUAGUGUAGGACCUGCCAAAGAUGGGGUACAUUGACGUUGUGGCAGGCUUAUGCAAUGUAUGAUCAUAUAAUGUAACUAAGCCCCCAUUAUUUUUGCCUAGAUUAGGUGUUUUUAAAAAAACAAAUAAAAUCUUUCAACAUUGAAGUUGCUGUUUAGUGGAUAGGUGAGUGCGCUGGCUCUUGUGUAUUAUAUAUAUAUAUAUAUAUAUUAAUUCUACAUAUAUAUAUAAAAACACUGGCCAAAAUUGGCGUUUUUUGCAUUUUUCACACACAAACAAAUAUUAACGCUAACUUUGGCCAGUGUUUGUGACCAAAUGGCUACUAAAAAAGACUGGACAUACCCCAUUUGCAAUACCUUGGGUUGUCUACUAUUGCAAAUGGUAUGCCAUUAUGGGUGUAAAUUCCUGGGCUACUAUACAGUCUCAAAGGCAACGUAACCAAUCUGGCGAAUUUCAAUUUCAAAUGUAAUGUGCUAUAUUUGACCCUGUAACUUCCCAAAACGCCAUAAAACCUGUACAUAGGGGGUACUGUUUUACACAUGUGUAUAUUAUUGCAGUAAAAUCAAACAGUAUUAUGACAUUGACAGUUAAAAUGUCAUGUAGAACUAAAAAAAAAUAACAAAAUAUCUUAUUUUUUCCAUUUUUUUCAUAUUAAAUUAUGUUUCAUAGCUAAAUAUUUGAUAUUAAAUGAAAGCCCUGUUUCCCCCUGAAUAAAAUGAUAUAUAAUAAGUGUGGGUGCAUUUAAUAUGAAAGAGGUGAAUUACGGUUGGACAGACAUGUAGCGCAAAUUUGUUUACGUUUUGUUUUGUUCACAACGUGUAUAUUUGGCUCAGUCCUUAAGGGGUUAAAAAACAAAAUUAUAUAUACCUUGCACUCAGGCUUCAAACUUGCCACACCGGGUGCAAUACCAAGGCUUUAAAUAUCCAAAUGGUAAAGUAAUAUGGCUGCACUCACGGAUUUCCAAUAAAAUAUAACUUUUAUUCCAGUUCUUUGAAAUAGAUCGACGUUUCAGUCCAUCUUGUGGACUUUCAUCAGGAUCCUUUGCAGCCAUAUUACUUUACCAUUUAUAUAUAUAUAUAUAUAUAUAUAUAUAUGUAUGUGUGUUUAUAUAUAUAUAUAUAUAUAUAUAUAUAUAUAUAUACAUAUAUUGCAAGCUAAACAAAAUAACUAAUGCUCUUCAAAGCAAGGAACUGUUUCUAGGUUGUUAUGUAGCAGUGUCUGAUCACAAACAGUCACAAUGUCUAGACAUUGACCAGUAGGAGAAAGAAACAUAUUGUCUUGCUAUCCUUCACGCAAUGUCUGUGUAUAGUUGUGUCUGGUAUUGUUUAAUGUUUUCUUUCACUUAUUUAUCUAUUUCAUUAUCUGUGGAUUUCCUAUCUCACAACAGCGAUUAUGCCAAACACCAUAUUAAAUGAAUUUUAUAACUCCAUAGUAAUUUCGUAGGACGUGUGUAUGGCAGAAGGAAAUUUGUCAUUAACCUCUUCAGUCCCGAGUUUGUUUGUUUUUGUUGAGUUUAAGGUGAAAAUUCAGUUGAGUGAUAAGGUUUGUGAAAUAAUAUGUGUGUUGUGUUUUGCAAAUUCAGUUUUAAGAAAAUAUUCUGAAGAAAUAGCGCAAAAGGAGAAAUGACUUUAUAACAUGCAUCACAGAGAGGCACCAGACUAUAAAUAAGUUUUAAAAAGAACAUAUUCAAAUGUGCUGUUGCCAUUAAAAUAUGUUUAGAAAGAAGACUAUGAUCAUAGCUUUUUCAAAAAGUUCAGCAUUGUAUCGGCUGGAGAGAGCAAUUAUCAAACAUUCUGUUUUGUGAAAAAUAAUGCAAAAAGUGUAAAAGAGGGAAAUCACCAUGGAAACCAAUGGAACCAGCGGGCGCAUUUAUUUGGGGACCCCUCUUUUUUUCCCAUGUUUGCGCUGAUUUUCACAACAUGACACUUUGAUCAAUUUCCCCCACUUUUUCCCCCCACAGUUUUUCUCUCUUGCCCAGUACUUCUCCUGGCAUACCAGUAAGGAAAGAGGGAAGAAUUAAUGAUGGCAAUAUAUGGGAUUGUGACUCCCAUCAAUCUCGGAAAGUGCAGCACAAGUAUGUUCUGGUGUUUAACUGAGAAGGAAGCAACUGAAUGAAUAUUUGUGCCGUUGUGUGAGUCUGUGUUUGCAUGUCUAUUUUUUUGUGUGUAUAUGUUUGUGUAUGUUUGUGUGUGUAUCCGUGUGUUGCACUUUACAGCAGAUAAAAUGGCAAAGACAAUCCUUGGCAUUUUUCAUAUAAAUAUAUCAUUUAAUAUAAAUAAUUGUGAUGUGUGUCUUAUUUGAAGUUAUUGUUAAAAGUGAGAAAUAUUAUAUUUGCACCAUAUUGAAUCUUCCUACUUUAUGUACGUAAAAAUGCAAAAAAAAAGACUAUAUUUAGUAAGGUACAUUGGAGAAUAGGAAUGUUUGUACUCUGUGUCAACAUAUAUUUUUGACUGUGAAGAUGGUGUUAAAUUUAAAGAGAUUGUUAUUCACAUGGACGUGCUCUGUUUUGUUAAACACAAGUGGCGGUUUAAAAAUAUGUUGCGAGAGCAUACAAACCACAGCCAGGGCUGUGACACACUGAUAACAGCCCUGCUCAGCUUUUGCACAAGUUCCGUCCUAAUUUUAAAAAAAGAGAUGGAAAAAAGUUUAUGUACUAAUGUAUUAGUCCCUCUUUCCUGUUCUCAUCAGCUCGAGCUGUUACUUCCAGUCACACAGUUUCAGUUACACGUCUAUUUUCAUUAAGUCAUUUUGGACGUUAGAGGCGAUGGGGACAUGCCUAAAUCAGACCUGUCAAUCUAAAGCAGUAUGAUGAAAAUUUAUAAGAAAAAGGAUGAUUAACCAGUGGUUACUAUAGUAUGCUCCCUAGAAGAAUGAUUUGCUUUAAGGAUCUUGUUUUCAUUGUUAUAACUGAUUGAAUAUUAUGAUUCGAGAUCCCCGAUAUAUAACACCAACAGCUGAUACAGGCUGUGAAAGGAGGUGCUGGUGACAACAAGGACUACAUCAUUAUAUGGAAAUUGUAGAUAAACAAAGAAUAAGAAAUUAGUCAAGUUAAGAGAAUACAUAAAGCACUAAGCCCUGCAGUUAUUAUUAUUAUUAUUUUAUUUUUUUAUAUAGUGACAUCAGAUUCCGUAGCGCAGUACAAUAGGUGGACUAACAGACAUGUAAUUGUAACGAGACAACUGGACGUACAGGAACAGAGGGGUGGAGGGCGCUGCUCAAUGAGCUUACAUUAAAGAGGGAGUGGGGUAUAGUGGCACAAAGGGUAAAAGUAGGGGUACAAAGUAGGUUUUUAGAAAAGUAUUCCCUGGGGGCUUAGUAGGUAUUUUUGACAGUUGCAUUAGAGGAGUCAUGGAGGAUGGGGGAUGAAAACCUGCUAACAGUUUAAUUGAUAUGCUUUCUUGAAAAAGUGUGUUUUCAAUGAUUUUUUGGAAGGAGUGGAGACUGGGUGAAAGUCUUAUGGAGAAGGGAACAGAGUUCCACAGAAAAGGUGCAGCCCUGGAGAAGUCUUGAAGGUGAGCAUCAGAGGUGGGGGUCAGCUCAAUGGCUAAGUAAGAAUCUCAUUGGCUCACUCUCAGCCAAUGACUUGCACCUCCAGGCUCAGACAGAGAGCUUCUGGGUCUCAGUAGAAUGAGGAGGCUGUGAGCGGUGCACAGGUACUUACAAUAGAAUGGCCGUGUAGUGGCUGUGAUGCAAGGGGCAUCCUUUUAAAUUGGGGAUUUUCUUUUUUUGGGGGAUCAGUCUCCUCUCAUUUUGAUGCAAUUGCCAGAUAGUAAAAAACUGUCAACAGAAACCUAAUUAACAGGUAUCGAAAAUACAAAGGUAAUUUCAGCUAAAUAAUAAAAUUACAUUUAUAUGUCACAGUUGCAAAAAUAUACAAUAAUUGGUCAGUCUGACUGCCUCUCAGUGGGAUGUAUAAACAUGACAUCAUGAGAUUGAACCAAACACAUUGUGGGCACAUCGCUCGAUGGCCAGAUGGCACAUCUGAACUGCGUACCUCUUUGUCUUAGUGGAAUCAUUCAAAGAAUCAAUGUAUGGUUGCCAAUGGUAUAUAUAUUUAUGUUUAUUUUUUUAUGGCUGUUAUUUUAAAAUGUAUAAAUAAUGUGUCUUGGGUGUGACUUUAAAUACCAAACUCUCAUAACUCCCUUGUCAGGCUUUUUUCUGGAUUUUAGUCACGCCAACAGGAUUAAAUGUAAGCGAGUUUUCUAGGUAACCCUUUUUAAAUGAAUUAGUGGACUAUUGGCAGACAGUUCGUGUUCAGAUCCCACUUUUUUAAAUAAUUGUCCCCAGUUUAAGAACCACCUUUCUAUAUAAUUAGUUAAUCAUUUUUUUUAUCAUGACUACUUGUAGUUUUUUUUACCUCAUAUUGUAAUCUGAUUGAAGAUUGUUUGCGGUAGGCCAUGAAGAUAAGAAUUGCAAACACAAUCACUGAAUACAAUCGCGGAACCAAUCAGGAUGUGGGUACUAGAUACAUACAAGUCAUUUUUAAAUUCCAUAUAUCAUACAUCUCGAGAUUUCAAAUGGUCAAAGACACAAUUUUUAUUUAGGAGGUGUGGCAAGAGAAGGGAUGCAUUCUGGACCAAUUAAAAUAUUUCUUUACCGAGCAGUAGUGGCGUAUGUAAUUUCUAAUCAUAUCUAAAAACACACCAACAUUUUAAGUUCCAAGAAGAAACAUAUAGGCCACUAAAUAGGAAUACUUUGGAGGUAUGAAAUACAACCUACACAUAAUAAAAGCAGAAAUUGAUUAUUAAUCAUCUUAAAAACGGGUUCAAUAAAUGUUUUCUGCACAUUCUGUAGUGAGCAGUAGUAGUGAUGUCCUGAACGGUUCGCCACGGACUCAUCAUUGAGUAAACUUUGACCCUGUACCUCACAGUCAGCAGACACAUUCCAGCCAAUCAGCAGCAGACCCUCCCUCCCAGACCCUCCCACCUCCUGGACAGCAUCCAUUUUGAAGCUGCAUUCUUAGUGAGCUGUCCAGGAGGUGGGAGGGUCUGGGAGGGAGGGUCUGCUGCUGAUUGGCUGGAAUGUGUCUGCUGACUGUGAGGUACAGGGUCAAAGUUUACUCAAUGAUGAGUCCGUGGCGAACCUUUCGGCGAACCGUUCGGGACAUCACUAAUCAGUAGACUUGAACAUGGUGAGAUUGUUCGAUGCGGCCAAAUAAUUUUUCCUGAAAUUCUAAUUUUGUUCAGGACAUCUGAUACUCGUUCAUGUGACGGUUUAGCUCAGAAACAUUCAGACAAACCAAAAAGGGCACAAAAUUGUAAAUAUAAAUAGUAUGCAUAUUUUUUGCGGUACACAUUUUCCCACUAUUUGGUUCACAGAUCAAGUGAGAACCGUACCCCAAGGAGUGAAAAAGAGGAGCAGCAGUAAAAGUAUAUAUUUAUAUAUUACAUUAUUGUUUUUACUCCUCCUCAUUUUUCCCCUUUGUUGGUCAUUUCACAUUUGAUCUGUGAAUAAAUUUAAAAUGUAAUAACUGUCCCCUAGCCAUCAAUUAUCUUGUUUUCCCAUCAAUUAACACUUUUUGACACCACAGGCGGCAUUCUGAGUAAUUGUGCUAGUUGUUUGCUCAGGUAUAUAUCCAUAUCGAUGCAGAGAUACGGAAUUCUGCCAAACAGCCAUUCAGCUCAAAAUAGGUCAAAUCUGAAUACACAAGUUGACCAGUGUUAAUAGGAUUUUUAAUUUUUUUUUGUCAUGUUUGUAAGCAAGAAAAAACAUAGAGUGCAUUGCUGAAAGAUUAUAUGGUUAAUUGUGGAGUGCACUGAUGGCUGACAUUUGUACGCCAGAUGCGUAUGAGUUACAUUUCCACUGAUGCCCAGCCAGACUUAAAAUGAAGAGUCACUUUUUGGGUCAGUUUUUGCAAGACCUCUGCCAAGCUAUGUUGCUAAAUUGCUUUUUGUGUCCUCUUUUUUUCAUUUUACAAAAAGUGGUGAUUUUGAUUGAAAUUGGUACUUACAUUAAUCAAUCUGGUUGCACCCCCUGACUGUCAGUCAUACAGCAAAUCCUACUAUUUCCUGGUUGUUUAGCUCAGUGAAGCUAAACUCAAAAUGUAGCAAUUACCCAGAACAUCUGCCUUCCAAAUACUGCUCAUGAAGCUGCAUUGGAAAGUCUGUGAUUGGACAAAAGCCUGGGUGAGAUUAGGAGGGGAGGGAUUGCAAAGGUUGCAGACAAGUGAUCUUCAGCUUUUGCAAGCAGUUUUUUAAAUGUAAUCCCUAUUUUAAAAAUGCAUAAUUAAAGUCAUGUAUAUUUUCAUUCGGGUUAUAUCAACUAAAUUGUGAUAUUUGAUUUUUACAUUUUUUUUUUUAUUUGGGCAGUGUAGUGUCUUUUUAAUGGAGCAUGUGAGAUACAGUCAAAUCACUAAUUUCCUUAUUUAACUCGCAUCCGAGAAGACAGCGGGGUCUGCAAGACCACAGGACAACUUGCAUCUAAACUUUAUCCAAAACUAGUUGCCCUGUACAGAAACAAAUCCUGCCUAGGCCCUACAGUAAAGGAAAAGAUUGUACAGCAAAUGCUAAUGCCAAUCAUUGAUUAUGGGGAUGUAGUAUAUGCAUCUGCACCGCAAUCCAACAUUAAUAAACUCAAUACAUUGUAUAACUCGUUCUGCCGAUUUGUGCUACUAGGUAAUUACAGGACCCACCAUUGUGACAUGCUAAAAGAACUAAACUGGCUGUCGCUGGAAUCCAGACGCACCCUUCAUCUUUCCAGCCUUGUGUUUAAGAGCUGUUCUGGGAAGCUCCCACCCUACCUGAACAAAAUGCUCUCCCCAGCUGUUCCCACCUCCUAUAACCUCCGAUCCAGUACCAGCACUUUAUUUAGUCUACCUCAAUACAAAAAGAAAGCAGCUCGAUCCUCCUUCUCCUACAGAGCGCAACAAUUGUGGAACGACCUCCCACACACUUUCAAAUCUUCCCCAGGCCUAAAGUCCUUUAACCCCUUAAGGACCGAGGACGGUUCAGGACCGUCAUCGGCAUUUUUGCCUUGCUGACCGAUGACGGUCCUGAACAGCCCUAACGGUCCUAUUUACUUACCUGAUCACCGUAGUUCCCCCGGCGGCGAUCAGCGUGGCUCCUGGUGUGGGGAGACUGCCUGCAGCCCAGACAGUCUCCCCACACUGAAUUAGGACCCCUGUGGCCAUGUGAUCGCUUAACAGAGCGAUCACAUGGUCACAAUAGGUGUCCAUGUGUCUGCCUGCAGGGGGACUGUCUGUGCUGACAGGCAGUCUCCCUGCUGGUGUAAAAUCAAAAAAUAUAAUAAAGUUAAUGUUAAUUAAAAAUAAAAAAAAUUAUAUAUGUGUAUAUAUAUAUAUAUGAUUACAUUUUUUUAAAUAAUAAUAAGAAUUGAAAAAAAAUAUAUAUCUAAAUGAAAUUUUAUUCUAACUGUAUUUUAAAAUUAAUAUAUAUAUAUUUAUAUCAAAAUACACUUAGAAUUAAUUUGUAUAUAUCUAUGUAUAUAUAAUAAAUAAAAAUAAUACGAAAUAUACAUAUGUCCAUAUUCAAAAUUACAUAAAUAAUUAUAUAAAUAUACACGUAGAUUUCAAAUAUAUAAUUAUGCAUAUAUAUUUAAAUUCUACGUGCGUAUUUAUGGAAUAUUCUUACAUAAUUAAGUAAUUUUAUUGAUUGCAAUUUGAGGGACCUGCCUGCCAACCCAGGCCGAAAGUCCAGAGAAUUUAAUUUGCUAGCACUGUAUUUUACCCUGUAACGUUCUACGACACCCUAAAGCCUGUACAUGGGGGGUACUGUUUUACUCGGGAGACUUAGCUGAACACAAAUAUUAGUGAUUCAAAACAGUAAAACAUAUCACAGCGAUGAUAUUGGCAGUGAAAGUUACUUUUUUGCAUUUUUCACACACAAACAGCACUUUUACUUAUGAUAUAAUUGUUACGUUUUCCAGUUUUUAAACACUAAUAUUUGUGUUCAGCAAUGUCUCCCGAGUAAAACAGUACCCCCCAUGUACAGGUUUUAUAGCAUUUUUGAAAGUUACAGGGUCAAAUAUAUGGGUCAAAUAUUUUUACAUUGAAAAUGGCCAGGUUGGUUACGUUGCCUUUGAGAGCGUAUGGUAGCUCAGGAAUGAGAAUUACCCCCAUGAUGGCAUACCAUUUGCAAAGGAAGACAACUCAAGGUAUUGCAAAUGGGGUAUGUCCAGUCUUUUUUAGUAACCACUUAGUCACAAACACUGGCCAAAAUUAGCAUUCAAUUUAGUUUUUUUACUUUUUUCACACACAAACAAAUGUGAAUGCUUACUAAAAAAGACUGGACAUACCCCAUAUUGAAUACCCUGGGUUGUCUACUUUAAAAAAAAUAUGUACAUGUGGGGUGUUAUUCAGAGAUUUAUGACAGAUAAUAGUGUUACAAUGUCACUAUUGAUAAAUUUUAAAAAUGUAUGUUUUGAAACCGCAAUAUCCUACUUGUACCUAUAGCCCUAUAACAUGCAAAAAAAAAAGCAAAAAAGCAUGUAAACACUGGGUAUUUUUCAACUCAGGACAAAAUUUUGAAUUUUUUUAGCAGUUUUUUUCAUUUGCUUUUGUAGAUGAGUAAAAGAUUUUUCAAGUAAAAGUAAAAAAAACAUGUAUUUUUUUCAAUUUUUCAUCAUAUUUUUUUAUUUUUUUUAAAUUAAAAUACAUGAGAUUAUAUAAAUAAUGGUAUGUAAAGAAAGCUGUCCUUCAAGAAAAAACAAUAUAUAAUUUGUAUGGGAACAGUAAAUAGAGACGGAAAAUUACGUAAACACAAACACCACAAAGUGUAAAAAUAUGCCUGGUGCAAAUGUACAACAUCAUAAAAACAGUCCAGUCCUUAACCCCUUGGGGCGGGUGGCGGAACGAAGAUCCGUCCUCAGAGAAAACGCAUAGCGAAGAGUAGCGGACCACCGUCCGUCCGCGCUGACAAAAUAACCCUGGAUGCGCUGGCUAUUGCGGCGUCUGGCGAAGAUAUGGUACUCGGCCAAUACUCUGCAUUGAGAGCGCCGCACGGAAACACACCGAUCGAACUACUCAGCACGUAAUGCCGCUCACGGCCGCCAAGUCUGAAAACACAUGUGCUCUGUAUACUCACCUACCGGCUCCCUGCACUUCCGGGUUCUGUGUGAAGUGCAGGGAGCCGGAUCAGUGCUGAUCCUGCCCCCUGCUGGAAAAAAAAAUAAAGUUUAUUUAAAGUCCCCCUUACCCAUUUUAAUAAAAAAUUAACCCCUUCCCUGCCAAUUGAUCACUGACUACAGUGAUCAAUUGGCAGGGAUUACAUUUUACUAUGAUCUGAUUUUUUUUUUUAACCCUCAGGGGUUAAAUUUAUUUAAUUAAUUAAUUAAAAUAUUUUUAAAUUAUAUAUUUAGCUAGCUGGGGUGGGUGGAAGUUAGUGGGGAAUUGGGGGAUUUGGCGUUAGGCUAACUAGGGGUUAACGUUAAAAAAAGUUUUAAAAUAACCUUUAAAAAGUAAAAAAUUAAGCUUAAAAAAUGUUUUAAUAACGUUUAAGUAAAACAAAAAAAAAACCCUUUACCUAGUCCAAAUAAAAAUUAACCCCUUCCCUGCCAGUCGAUCACUGCCUACAGCGAUCAAAUAGAGAUCACAGUAUUAUACUGUGAUCUAAUUUUUUUUAACCCCUGAGGAUUAACUUUUAUUUAUUUUUUAACCCUCAGGGGUUCAAUUUAUUUAAUUAAUUAAUUAAAAUAUUUUAUAACUAUGUAUUUUGCUAGCUGGGGUGGGUGGGAGUUAUGGGAAAAUGGGGAAUUUACUGUUACUGCUGCGUACUGCUAGUUAGGGGUUAACGGUAAAAAAAAAAGCUUAGAAAAAUGUUAAAUCUGUAAAAAAGUUUUAAGAAAGUUUAGGAAAGUUUAAAAAAAAUUUAUAAGCAAAACAAAAGUUUAAAAACUAGUUUUUAAAAGUAAAAAAGUUAUAAAAAGUAAAAAAAUACAUUUUAAAAACGCUCAUUACCACUACACCUGGAACAAACUAGAGAAAAAAAUUAUCCCACGCCAAGGUUCAAAAUAUGCCUUUUGAAUUACCCCAGGGUGUAUUCUUUAAUAAAUAGUAUGUGUUUGUGGGGAAGUUUCAAUAACCAACCGUCUAAACUACUCCAAAUUGGAACAUGGACACAGCGUAAAACUUCAAAGUUAGAAAAAAACUGAAUGGCUGCGUUUCAAAUGCGCCCCUUCAACAUCCACAUAUACCUGGCAAAGGUACAUACAGGGGUAUUGCUGUACUCAGCCGACAUAGCUGAGCAACAUAUGAAGUAUUAUACAGUCAUAGCACACAUAAGGUUUGCAAAAUAUGUUGCACAAACUCACUUUGUAUGUCAAAAAGGCAGAAAAAAUGCUUAUUACCACUACACUUGGUACAAGCUAGCGGAAAAAUGAUCCCACGCUAAGGUUCAAAAUAUGAAUUUUGAAAUACCCUGGGAUGUCUUCUUUAAGAAAUGGUAUGGCUUUAUGGGGUAUUUGGAUUAUAUAGCCUGGUAAAAUACUCUAAAAUGGGACAUAGGCACAGCAUAAAAAUUCAAAGUUUGAAAAAACUGGAAUGGCUGUGUCCCAAAUGUGCCCCUCCGAUGUCCACACAUACCUGGCAAAGGUACAUACGGGGGUAUUGCUGUACUCAGCCGACAUAGCUGAGCAACAUAUGAAGUAUUAUACAGUCGUAGCACACAUAAGGUUUGCAAAAUAUACUGUGCAAACUCACUUUGUAUGUCAAAAAGGCAGAAAAAACGCUUAUUACCACUACAUCUGGUACAAGCUAGCGGAAAAAUGAUCCCACGCUAAGGUUCAAAACUAUACCUUUUGAAACACCCUGGGGUGUCUACUUUAAGAAAUGGUAGGCCUUUGUGGGGUAGUUUGAAUUUAAAACCUGCGAAGAUGCUUGGAAAUUGCACAUAGGCCCAGCGUCAAAAUUCAAAGUUUGGUAAAAACGGAUAUGGCUUGGUCUCCUAUAUGGCACUGUAGCUUCACGAAAUAGUGCCAAAGACAUUCAUUGGGGGUGUCUUUUUACUCAGAAGACUUAGCUGAGCAUAAUUUGGGAGGUUUGAACUUAGUGGCACAUAUGAAAUAUACAAAACGCCCAGCAAAAAUGCAAUCCGUAUGUAAAAAAUGCACAAAAUUAUUUUUUACCACAUACUUUGGCAUAUAUUGGUGAAAAAAUGGGGGCAUGUUAAGGCACAAUAUGCACCUUAUAAGAUACCCUGGAGUGUCUACUUUUACAAAUGGUAGGCCUUUGUGGGGGGUUUUUGAACAGUCAAACUGUUAUAAUACCCCAAAUGGAAGCUAAGGCUCAUUAAAUCCAUCUCUCAAAAUUCUACUGUGAAUACUGAAAAGGACAGGUAUCCUGUGUGGCACUGUAACUUCACAAAAUAGUGCCAAAGACAUACAAUGGGGGUGUCAUUUUACUCAGCAGAUGUAACUGAACACAAAAUAAAACUUUGUACAGGAAUAGCACACACCAACUUUACAAAAUAUACACGAGAAUUUCUUUGUUAUAAGUUUGUGUGCCAAAAACCAAAAAAAACCACAAUUUUACUCCAAUAUUUAGCAGAGGUUGGCGGUGAAAUGGCUACGUAGAAAGUGUCAAAACAACCUUAGGUAAAUAGCCCGUGAUGUCUACUUUAUAUAAAUAUAUACUUUUGUGUGGCAAUUUUGUUUUCUUUUAUGGCUAUUAAGCUUACAAGACAAACAUACCAAAUUCUAAAAUCGCUCCACAUUAAAAGUCUAUUUUACUCCUUGUGCUUUGUGACCUGUAACUACCAAAAAAAACUUAAAAUCCCAGACACAUUGUAUAUUCUGUAAAUCAGAACAACUAAAUUAAUUUAUUUUUAAUUACUUUUCUUAACCUGCACUAAUUAUGCACACAUUAUUAUUGCAAAAACUGUAAAAAAAAAACACAAAAUUUUCAUUUUUUUUACAUUUUUCUGUAUUUUUUUAUAAUAAAUAAGCAUUUAUAUAUAUGUGUGUUACAUCAAAUUAAAGCCCUUUCUGUCCUUUAAAAAACGAUGUAUAAUAUGUGUUGGUGCAACAAAUAAGUAAAAUGCAAAUUGCAGUUGAACACAAACAGCAAAAAAUGAAAAAAAUGCCGUUGUCAUUAAGUGAAAGACAAGCUUUUGAAGCUCUGUCCUUAAGGGGUUAAGGGGUUAAGAGAUCCAUCUCUACAUAUUUCAAAACAGAAUGCUCGUGUCAUGGUUGAUUAUAUAUUAUCUACCUGUUAAAUUUUGUAUAUAUUGUUUAUUAAUAUUGUUUUUGUAUUUUAUUGUACCCUAAUUGUAACAAUGCAAUGUUUUGUGGACCCAGGACAUACUUGAAAACGAGAGAAAUCUCAGUUGUAUCUUUCCUGGUAAAAUAUUUUAUAAAUAAAUAAAUAAAUAACUGAACAGAACUUUUGGUGCAUAGCCAAUGUAUUCCCAUAAGCUGUCGCUUGUUAUGGCUGAACGGAAUACCAGGAGAAAGACAACAAUAAUGACUUAAUAUUCCAGGUUUUACAAUUUAUAGCCAUUUCAGCUGGCGAUGUACUCCAUGCUUUAUUUUAUGCAUAUUGCUAAGCAACAUUUCACUGAAUUCAACUCAAUACAUACGGUUUUUCCUACAGGUUCCUUUGCUUGGAUCUGGUCUGUAAUUUCAUGUCUGAGCAAGAUUGCACGGCCUUAGGUCACAUGAUUACCGAUUCAGGCUGUAAAUCACUCUGCUAACAGCUAAGAUCUAAAGCAGAUAAUUAGCAUGAGAUAAGAACCAUUCUAUGUGCUCCAGCAAUCUCUUAUCUCCCACUUGCCAACAUCCCCUGUUACUGUGUACAUUAGUCUUGCCACAUGUUGCACUUUUUACAAUCUUGUAUGAGCAAACACUGACUAUGUAGACACCUACUUAUUAACAAGGGAUGCAGUACUUGUAUAGUUCUUGCACAAAAUACAAGAAUUACAUUUAAUGCAUGUUAUGAUUCAGCUAUUGUGGCCAUAUAUUUGUAAUACAACUAUUCAAUAAUUCCUGAUAAUUCACAGUUUUGUUAAUAACAUUUGCUGCACAAUGAUUUUUUUUUAUUCUAAAAGGAGAAUUUAGGUAACGAUAAAUAAUCAGAGAUAUUUCUCCAACCCAGCUACAGUCCCAGCUUUUAACUGUUUAAAAUUCAGAGUUUCGAGAAUGAACCUCUGUGUGUGUUCAAUGAUUUCCAUGUGGCUAGGAAAGUAAUUAUGAAGGAUAUGGAAUUAGGAAAACCACAAGAUGUAAAUCUGUAUAAACAUCAAGCUGUAGUAACUAUGAUAUCAUAAAUGGUUUAGUAAAAUUUUAACAAUUCUUUAAUUAUUAUCGUCACUAAUGGCUUCCAUUCUAUUGUCUAUUCUAUUAUCUUUAGACAAUUAAGAUCAAUCGCUUCGGAAUUGUUAGGAAUCCAUCAGGAUAUUCCAAACGUUAGGACAAAUGAAUAUUUAGAAUUAAUAUUGCAAUUUCAGUUCACCAAGGUUAACCGCUUAGUUAAUAGCCCAGUGGCUCCCAACUCAGGCCUUAAGACCCACUAACAAGGAUUUGCCAGGAUUCCCACUGGAGCAUAAUGGGAAGAUUGUUUUACUGGGUUGGGAAGCCCAGAAUUAACCUUAAGAGCCUUUGUUUAGUAACAUAAAUAUGAGCCACAAGCCACUAAUCACAUGACCUAAAAGCCCUAUUGGGUUUUAAAGGAACACUUUAGUGCCUCAAUAGAAAAAUCACUGUUUAGUAGAUAUACCAUGUAUGCAUACAAGUAAUUAUGAUAUUUUUUUCAUUGUGGCAUAUCUUAAACAGCUUGUAAAAGCUGCAGACCUCUUUCCUUUGCAAGCCCUCCCCUUCUAACCCCGCCCAGACUUUUUGUGUCUGUCCAAUCACAGUUUUCUCAAAGCAGCUCAAUGAAAAGUCUUUGCAAAACAGGUGCUCUGGGCAAGUGCUCAGCGGAGUUUAGCUCCACUGAGUUAAAGGCACUCUCCAGUGCCAGUUAAACAAACCAGCACCGAUGUCCCUCAGCGGUGAUUUCGGGUCUGCCCACGCUCGGCAGGGGAGACCUAUUGCGCAAACGCAGCCGGCGGCGGGGAGAGACCUAAUGUGCAUGCGCGUCAGGCGGCGGGGAGAGACCUAAUGCGUAUGUGCGGCAACGCCGAGCACACGCAUUAGACCUCCCCAUAGGAGAGCAUUGAAAGAUGCUUUCAAUGCUUUCCUAUGGGGAUUUUAGCGGCGUUGCUGUGCUAUAAACCUGGAAGUGCCCUCUAGUGGCUGUCUAGUAGACAGCCACUAGAGGAGGAGUUAACCCUGCAAGGUAAUUAUUGCAGUUUAUGAAAACUGCAAUAUUUACAGUUGCAGGGUUAAGAGUAGUGGGAGUUGGCACCCAGACCACUCCAAUGGGCAGAAGUGGUCUGGGUGUCUGGAGUGUCCCUUUAACCAAACCAGGAAGUAACAGGACCGGUUGUCUGAUUGACAGCCAGCAGUGAUUGACAGUGCUAGUUUAUAAAAGUACCAAUUUAUACGGAAAUGUGCACUUUUGUGAAAAUGAAAAAAAGAGGACACUGAAGUGCUUUAGGGCUCUGAAGUGUCCCUUUAAAAUAGAAAAAUAAGAAGUUAAAUCUUUAAAACAACUGCCACAGGCAUACCUUUCUUUAUAGAACUUGUAAAAUUUAUGGAGUCAUAAUCUUCAGCUCAACAUUUCAACAUGUUACUCAAAAGCGACCAUUUUAUUUCUUUAGAAAUAUAGCUGAAGCUUCUUAUAUAAAUUUGCAGAGUCAACUACUCUUUGUUAAAAAAUAUAAAAUUCACUCACUGUUUAUAAACGUGGUUAUACACUAAAGUGAGAAUUCAAAGUGAAUAAAAAAUCAGUUUCAAAUUUAAGGUCUAAAUAGCCGAUCUAGAAAAAUUCUCCAAAUCAUCCAUGGUGCAAUUUCAACUUUUCUGGCCUAUAUUGUAAAAAAAAACACUUUGAUUUCACUUUGCAUUCUCACUUAGUAAAUAGCCCUGAAAGUGAUUUCAAUGAAUCCAGACUCAUGCUUUGCUUUUUUAAACUGUGAUAAGGUGAUAAUUUUCCUCUAAUCUGCAGUUGGUGUUUAAUGGUGCCCAUGAGACUGUUAUGUGUAAGCAGAUGGGAUAAUUGCCAUUUCUGAACUACUUGGGAAACAUUUGGACCCAAUUACUGAUAUCAGUGGUAGUUUGCAUUUCAUCUAGAAGUCGUUUGCUGAGGAGGAGUGUUGUUUAUUGCCCAUUUCUACUGAAAACAGUGAUUUAUGCAGAGUUGAAGGCAAUAAAUAAAAUGAGCAUUAAACGGACUGUCCAGUGCCAGGAAAACAAUUUGUUUUCCCAGCAAUGCAGGUCCCCUCUCCCUCCCACCUCCCAUCCCCGGUUGCUAAAGGAGUCAAAACCCCUUCAGUGACUUACCAGAGGCGACGAUGUCCCUCGGCACUGCUUCUUGGUCCACCCACAGUCCUCGCCGUCACUACAUCAGGCGUCAGGGGAGACUGAUCACGCCCGCCGUCAGGGGAGACCUAACGCGCAUGCGCAGCAACGCAGCGCACGCACAUUAGACCUCCACAUAGGAAAGCAUUGAAAAUGCUUUCAAUGCUUUCUUAUGGGGAUUUUAGCGACGCUGGAGGUCCUCACAUAGCAUGAGGACAUCCUGUGACGCUAGAGCACAGAAGAUCUGUGCUAUAAUCCCGGAAGUGCCCUCUAGUGGCUGUCUAGUAGACAGCCACUAGAGGAGGAGUUAACCCUGCAAGGUAAUUAUUGCAGUUUAUGAAAACUGCAAUAAUUACAGUUGCAGGGUUAAGGGUAGUGGGAGUUGGCACCCAGACCACUCUAAUGGGCAGAAGUGGUCUGGGUGCCUGGAGUGUCCCUUUAAUGUUAUGUGAACACCAAUAUUUGGAAAAUUCCCCAGAUCUGAUAUUUUAACUUAAUUUUAGAAGUUGAUAGUCAGCUCGUAACUUGCUGCUCAGUAAAUUAACCUAAUAAUGGUUUAUUCCAUAAAGUGGCAAUUGCUAGGAAAUCAUUGUGAAUGUCAAAUUUUAGUUUAAAAUAUCUUAGCUGAAAAUGUAGCUGACUUGGAGAAAUUUUAAAUUCACUUUUAACUUAAAUUUUUAUGUAAUUUAAAGUUUAAUUUUAUUAAUUUAUUAUUAUUGUCAAAACAAAUAAACAUGGGGGAUGUCUUAGGCAAAAUGUUAGGAGAAAGGCAGGGUACAGUUUGACAAAGACACAGCCUCAAUAAUGUUACAAAUGAUGUGCAAUAUCCAGGCACCCAGAUCAUUUCUGCCCAUUGGAGUGGUGUGAGUGCCAACUCCCACUACCCUUAACCCUGCACGUGUAAUUAUUGCUGUUUUCAUAAACUGCAAUAUUUACCUUGCAGAGUUAACUCCUCCUCUAGUGGCUGUCUACUAGACAGUCACUAGAGGGCACUUCCGUGAUUAUAGCAAACGAAAAGUGUGCUAUAGCGUCGCUGGACGUCCUCACGCUAUGUGAUGACCUCCAGCGUCACUUAAAUCCCCAUAGGAAAGCAUUGAAAGCAUUUCUCAAUGCUUUCCUAUGUGGAGGUCUAAUGCGCGUGCACAUUAGGUCUCCCCCGCCGGCAGCGCAUGCGCAGUAGGUCUCCGCUGCCGGAUGAUGUCGGCGGGGGAGUAGUGUGGGCGCACCCUGACCCAGCGCCGAGGGACAUAGGCACUGGAUACAGGUAAGUCACUGAAGGGGUUUUAACCCCUUCAGCAACUUGGGAUGGGGGGUGGGAGGGAGAGGGGACCUGCAGUGCCAGGAAAACUGUUUGUUUUCUGGAGAAUCCCUUUAAUAUGUUUUACAACCAGUAGGUAAUCACAAGACUUUGUAGCAAUUGUGUUUCAGCUGGUUAGAACGAAUCAAAAUUAUUUUAAUCUAAGGCCAAACAAACCGAUCCACCCCAUUCCACAUGCAAAUCCCGAACAGAUCGGUUUGUUCUGGAUUAGAUUAGAAAGGAUUUAUGUGGAUUUACCACUUCACUACCAGAAUCGAGUAUAAACCGUUUUAUUUCCAUGUAUUGAGCAGUAUGAAAUGUAAUCCAUAAAGGAUCACUCUCCCUGAUUUAUACUCUAGUUACAAUCACCAUAUGUCAGUUCAUUCCUCAUAAAUACUUAUUUGUUAAAUAUAGAGGAUAAGGAAAUAUAAUAUCAAAACCUUAUAAAAAGUUAUAGUUGCCCUUUAAGGCAUGUCGGAGUACGUUUGUGAGUGGCUUUGGCUGCGGGAGCUGACAUACUUUCCAUUUGUGACAGCUAAGUUAGACAGCCUGGUGGGAGGCAGUGUUAAUUUUGUUGACUAAAAAUUUUUAGAUUUAGGCGACUAAAACUAAAACAAUUCGGAUGAUUAAAAUAUGACUAGAAAUAAAAUGUUUUUUUAGUCAAAAGACGAUGACUAAAACACUGACACUGGUGGGAGGGUUUCCUAGCGACACGUGUGAAUGAUGUUCAGGUCUGAUAGACCAGUGCUUUUUCAUUGAAAGCAGUCAGGAAACAGGAUAAGGAGGAGUAGUUGUGGUGUGAAAGGUAUAGAUUGGUAUGUAUCCCUUAUAUUUGUAUGUACAAGAAUGUAUAUCAACAUAGUCAUGCUGGGAAUAUAACAAAAAUAUAUAAAUAAAAUGGAAUCAUAAUGUAGUCAAGACCCCAGAUUUAUUUCAGAUCAGGAGUUUGUUCCACCAAAGAAAACUAUUAAAAUUAAUGCUAUUUCAAUGGGAAAAAGAACAACAAAAACAAACAAUAUAUUUGUAAAUGCAAGUAAAUGCAAAGGUAUGAAAUGUGUAAUAAACAUUGCUUUAUCCUGUGAGUAAUACAAAAAUAAAAAGUAAAAAAAAAAAAAAAAAGAGAGAGAGAGAAUUCAGAACAUACUGGAACUCUACCAAAGGUUUAAAUGGGUCGCCCCACACUGCCAUCGCACUGCCAAUAUAUCUGUACUAGAAUUGUGCAAAGCGAGAAAAUUAAGUUUGGCCACACCAUUUUCCCCAAAAAUAGGAAACAUUUUCGGGCGCCCAAAUUCCGGCCAUAUUUGUUGGUUUAGCUCUGCAGAAUUUCGUAAUAGAAACCCGAUUCAGAAACUAAUCAGAUGAACCAAAGAGAGCGGAAAUGGGCUGUCAUUAGUGACUGUCCCCCUACCCAUCAAUCAUCUGUUUUUUUGGCACCCUGGAUAGAAUUCAAACUCACGAACCAAAAUGAACAUGUUUGGCAUUGCGUGGCUUGUUUGGGCCAUGAAUCAGGUACAUUUCAGAGUUCAGAAAUUCAGCAAAUUGCCAUCAGGACCAAAACUAAUCUCCACGGCUAAUCUGUACCAAUAGUGUAUAUGGUUAAGAAACAGUGGAUGUAGUUGGAUAAAUUGACGAUAAAAGACAAUGAUGUAGGUAGGUGCCAUGCUCAAGCCCAGGGCAGUCUCUAUGAUUUGGUAGUAGAAGGCAUCUAAGAACAACUUUCCAAGUACAUUUCGAAAGAGACCUAUAAGGUCCAUCAAAGUUGUUCUUAUAGACAUUCAUAUUUUGUAUCCUUUAACGUAUUGCAGAGAGGAGCAGUUGUCCAAGAAUAUACAUAAUGGGGUGAGGGCUGAAUCAAGCCCUGCCAUGAUUUGUUUACCAGGUGGAUAUGCCAGGGAUUUAAGAAUUUUUGGCGGCACAAACAUAGUAGGUGUUCCUGGACCUUUUUAUGAAAAAUGUUCAACUGUGAAUUCAAGAAAAUGAAACCAUUAGUAUUCAUCACAACAAUAAUUCAACCCUCAUCUGCAGGCGGCAUGGUAAGAUAAGAUCUGUAUUAGACUUUAUUGUUUUCGAUGUCAGUUUUUUUGAUAUGUCGAUAAGUUCGGCCUACCUGUAGCAAAAUGCUCAAAUUUUAACAAUGCAGAGCAAGUUCUCUGAGCCAAUGAAAUAUAAAUUGUGAUUACUGGAUUAACCCUUAAAUGUUCCCAAGAUUCGUAUUUUAUUCUUAACACAGACUCGCUUUUUAUUCUCUAACAGCUGUAAUAUUGUAGAAACCAUUGGAAUAAUGGUUUCUACAAACAUAUGAUUACAACAGCUUUGCUUAUUAACCCCGUUGACGCUGAGCCAGUGAAAAAUAUGUUUUUGCAAUUUUGGUAUUUUCAGUGAAACAUGAUAAUUUGCAUUUUUCUGUAGCUAUCUCCACAAUUCAUAUAUUAUUAUUAUUAUUAACACAUACAGCGUUUUCCUUUUUAUUUGAAAAAAAAAGAAAACACUACCCUAAAUGUACCAAAAUAGCCAAAAUCUUAAACAAAUAGAAUUUUCAAUAAACUUUGUGGCUAGCAACAUUUUCUUUAGUUUUAUAAUUGUGAGUAACUCAGUUUGCUAAAAAAUAACUUAAAGGAUUUUAUAAUGAUAAUCAUCUAUUAGGUAUACGUACUUAAAAUAUAGGUGAGAUUUUUUUUUUCCUUUUUUAAUUUUUAAUUAUUUUUUUUUAUGGAUGGAGAACAGAGAGCAGAAUAAGAUAUAAUAUAAUUAUUUAAAUAUACACUUAUUAAUAAAUUGCCUUUGGCAAUUAUCACAAGAAAGGUCCUGUGCACUAAUGGUCCGUAUCUCAUUUCAGCAUAUGUGUACAUACACUGAGAGUAACUUGUGUGGCCGGAUUUACACGAUUUGUGGUUGGUUCCAUUGACGUUUAUACACAUGGCUCAGAUGGUGAAAAGGCAGUAGAAGUCUUUUUGUUAGUAUCAGAUAAUCCUACAGGCGCUGUCGGAUACCCAGGGGUAUCAUUCUCUGGUGUUAGCCCAGCACCUGCACUGUGUUAUACAAACGCCUGCACAGCAAAGUAUUACCAUAUGACGCUUACAGAUUCAUCCAAAGCUUUCUAAAGAAUCAUCUCCAAACAGUUCUUUAAAAACCAUGUAUCUAGGGCAAUCUUUAAUCCAUUGCCCCACAUCUAAUGAUAAUAUAAUUUAAUUUGCCUGUUGCGUUUCCUUUGAAAUAUAAUAACUCAAAGACAUAAGUUUCUUUUAUUUUCUUCCAAACUACAGUGUUUUUCCUUAAACAAAUUUAAAAGCUUUAUGAGAUAAAUCGUAAGCACAUAACGACACCCACGUAAUGUUACUAAAUGUGGCAAAGUGUCUACAGCAGGGAUAGGCCAUCUUCGGCACUCCAGAUGUUGUGGACUAUAUCUCCCACGAUGCUUUGCCACAAUUAUGGCCGUGAGAGCAUUGUGGAAGAUGUAGUCUGGAGUGCCGAACGUUUCCUAUCCCAGGACUUUACAGCAUAUUUAUUCCUGGGAUAACUAAGUAACAAUGUAUAUGGAAAUAACUCCAUAUCGACAAAUAAUUUGGGUUUAUUUAGUAAACACCGUAUUGUAGUGAAUUAAAAGCUGAAAUGCAAAUUUAGGAUACAAUAGCCAAGGUGUGACUGUAGUUCAGAGAUUUUUUCCUAAAUAAGACUUUUCCCCUUAAUUUGAAAUUUGCUGUUCAAUUCACAAAAGUUGUUGUUUUAAAAAAAAAAUAAAAAAAAUAAUUAAUUUAAAAAAAAGAUUAGGUAUCCACUAACCCAGGGGCGUAAAAUUAUUUUAAAAUAGAUUUUGCACAUAUAAGGCCAAAAAAAUAGUGGAGGAUGAAAAUAAAAUCAGUCCCAACUGUUUUUGUUACAAUAUACUAAACCCAAUAAAUGUGUGUAUAAUUAUAAGUAGAAAAUAUGUGGACUAGCGCUAUAGUCUUAUCAGUAGCAAUAAUAUAAAGGAAUGUAUAGCAUCUAAUAAAAGUAAACGUGAAAUAAGAGAGAGCAUGAAUAAUGUACCCAUUGUACAGAGCUACGGAAUCAGAUGGCGCUAUAUAAAUAAUAAAAUAAUAAUAAUAAUUGUCCUAGAGCAGGGAUAGGCAACCUACGGCACUAGUGCCAUGCACGGCACUCGAGGUGUCUUUUUCUCGGCACUCAAGGCUGCUAGAGCCCAACAGGCUCUGACCUAUCAGGAGUCUCAGUGAAACUUCAGAUAUCUGCUAAUACAAAAAGGUGGUGAAGGAAAAUCCUCAAUUUAUGCAUUGCAGCACUUAGAGGAAGUGAUCUCAGAUCAUUUCAUCCCAGCACUUGUGAAUGGGAAUCCACACUGUAGUAGAGCAGCCUGCAGCUGCUGUUGCAGCUCCUGUCCUUGACCUGUAUCUGGCCGGCCUGGUCCCCACUGGAACCCAGGGAAGCCACCCACACUGCUAGAUAUACGCAGAAAUGCAGAAUAACCCUCCCCUCAUACAAAUAAUACGAACAGCCUACACACAAACAUACACACAAUCCGCAAAAACGAAACACCACUAACAAUACACAUACAUGCACACAACCCCACAUGCAGCCUCUCACAUGCAAUACCCCAAACAACCCCCACACUACCAAACACACAAUGUGACAUAUCCAUCCACACACAAUUCCACAAGCAGCCCCCAUACACAGCCCACAUUCAUAUGUAUCAUACACAAUACCAUAAACUACUCAUAAACAUUUACAAUAUAAUAGCUCAAAUACAACGAUACAGAGCAAUUACAGUAAAAAUAACACAAGCAGAAUACGGCAGCAUACACACCUCAAUUUAAAAAAAAUAGGACCAGCACGCUACGGGACAUCACAAACCUAUAUCAGCACAGUGCUGCUAAAAGGUUGCCUACCCCUGUCCUAGAGUCUCUGAGGGCCAAGCAGGGGCAGCCUGUAGGGUUUGGAAGUAUUUGGCGGAUUUAUAGGGUACUCCAGGCACUUGUACAGGUUAUGUGCAAUCGGUAGGUUGUGUUUCAGUUAAUUGUGCCUUACUGUUCCUCUCUCCCACCUGCAGUUUCCCCAUUUUUGUCCUUUAAAAUGCUGCUGUACAUACUUUUAUGACAUUCUGACCAAACAUCAGCUUCUUUACAUUUAACUUCAACCCCCAGAUCCUGUCACUGCAUCCAUAUAUCACGGUUUAUGGGAAUGGGCUUAAACAGAACCUUUUUUAGCCAAAGAUAAAGUCUUUGUAGGACUGAUGACAUCAUGCCAUUUCACACCAACCUACAUGUACGGAAUCAAAGCAAUAUCAUAUAUGGAUAUAGGAAUAGGAUAUUUGUUUGCAUUAUCUGCAUGACUUGCUGCUAUUCUAGUGAUGCUCCUUUGAUUAAAGACCAUCUCGAUAAAUGGUGUGCUUUCAUCUUAAAAAGUUAAAAUGUGAAUUUAAUAGAAAUAAUUAACCAAACAAAAAAUUUGUCAAAAUAUGUCAAUUUUACGCAGACAAUUCUGAGCUGGAGAAAUAGUGGAUGAUGAGACUUUUCGCAGUUUGACUAUUUUGUCAUAAUGACAAUAAUUUAGAAUUCACCAUCUAGUCAAUAACUCAGGAUAAUUUCCACACUCUGAAUACUGGCCAUUAAAGCAAGGUUUAUUCCAUAUUAAACACAUGCUAGAACUGUUUGUCUCUAAUAAGACAAAUCCGCAUGUAUAUAACAGUGUUACAAACAACACUGCAGGGUAUUGCAAAUGUAUACCCCCUAUUAAUGGAUUUUACUUCGUUUUUUAUCAGCACUAAAAAAGUAGACAAAUAAAGGGACACCAACCGAUUUUAAAAUUUUUCAUUUUUGUAAACAUAUUAAUUGAAUAUUAUAUAUUCCAGAAAAACUAAAAUUGUCAUGUUUAUUCUCGAAACCAGGAAUUUUUUGGACCAAGAAUUUGCAAAUUGUAGGCGUAAAAAGCAAUAUAUGUGCAUUAAAAAUAUACUGAUUGUAUUUUGUAAAAUGAAAUUCUUUGAGUUUUCAUUGUGUGAGCCGUGUUCCCUGCAGCUGUCUUGGGAAAGUUAGAACUAUAACUAAGAGCAGCUGUAAUCUCAAAACUUAAUUUGCAACACUCCACCUUGUAGAAGCUGAACAAACUAAUUUAUUAAAAAAUAUUUCUGCAUAGUACUAAUAAAAUGUUUAUUAAAAAAAAAAAGAAAAAAGAAAAACCAUAUACUAUUAUAGCACCACCGACAAAAAAAAUAUUGUAGAUUCUUUGAGUUAAACACAAACCACUAAUUCAAUGUUUGUGCCUCACACCCAGCACUGUUUAAUUCAACAGCACCUGCCCGAGGACCGCCAAUAACCUGCUCAAACACACAAAAGACGCAGGCAGCACUUUGACUACUCAGGUUACAUACCAGCUGCUAACCAGAAUCCGUUAGGCUUUUCAUGUUCUGUCCCUUGGUUGCUUUUGUGUUUUUCUAUAGACUAUUUCAAAUGAAGUUGUGUCCCACAUGAAAGUUAUGCAUAAUAACUUAUUUGUAAGCAAUGGAAGGAGAGAGGAUAAUCUUUACAUGUUAUCCAUUGGAGAUAAACGUAUCAGAUUAUACCGUAUAAAUCUAUGGUCUAAGUAGGCUUAACGCGCCAGUGUCAAUGGCACACAUGUAAACAUGAUAUGCAGUGCUGAUUGUGCAUGCAUACACUUCUAGCGGCUGGUUGUAUGAGCAUCUGGCUCUGCUAUAGAUGCAUUGUAAGCGAAAAUGGACUUAAAAAAUGAGCAGCCUUGCCGAAAUCCCAAAUCAUUUCUGCACAAUGGAUAUUUACCUAUAGCGGCAAAAAUGCUUUAACAAACCGAAGGGAAAAUUAUGAAGCAUGUUUUUAAAAGAAUUAGAAAAAAAUUAGUUUAUUAAAUGGUUCAAAAUUUAGGUUUUGUAAAACGAAAAAGUGUAAUGAUCAAAAGUCAAAAGUCACAUCAUUGGAUCAGCCGGCGAAUGUGAGCUGGAUGAAAUAGAAAAAACUGAAAGGUGAAAUAGUCUCCAAGUAAAAUUAAAUCUCUGUUCUUUAGAAGGCAGGACUAAAAGAGGACUUAAGCCUAUACAGGCCACAAGCACCGGGUCUAUGGAGAGCGCUUAUUCAGAAUGUUUGGGCCCAUGUGUCUAUGAAUUUAUCCCGAUCUGCAAUGCAACAUAUGGUGUUUUAUAAAAAUAUGUUGCAGUGGUAGUAGUGUUGGUAUUAUAUAAUAAAUAUAGCUCUGCUGAUAGUUUACUUUAGUUUGUAACUAGGAAAGGAAUAAGCUUUAGCAAUAAAAAUGUUACAUGUAUCAGAGUCAUUACGUUCAUGUGUGCCACGUUGUACGGCUGCGAUCCAUGCUAGGAAAUUCAACUCUCCAACUCAUUUUAUCCUUGGAUAUUUCUAACAGGAGUGAGUUUAAUGAGAAUAUUGAAUAUAAACCUGUAAAUGAAUUUAAAAAAAGUAAGUUGGGAGAGAUUUUGGGCUUUACAAUAUGGCAUGUUCGUGCACAAACUAGCAAAACGAAAUACAGUUAUAUAGCCAGGACCAUCUUCCUUGGAUGCUGAUGAAAUUAUUCACUAAAUCCAAAACUGGGAAAUAAAUAUUGAGCUCUGUUAAUAAUGACUAAACCGUGUGCAAAUAUUUACCAGUCCUAGUUUAGUAAAUAACGUCAAGUGGUGUCUUUACUAAACACUGAAGUGUAGUGGAUUUACAUAAAAAUUGCUAAAUUUAGUGGGGGGGGGGGAAAUCUAUCUCAGCUACAGUCACAGGCUGACCAUUUUAGUCUAAAUUUUGCAACUUGGGUUUUCGUUUCACUAAAAUUAGCGGUUUAGUAAUGUUUAAUAAAGUGGAUCAUAUAUGAUUGGGGGAGGGGGGUAUACUUUGCAGACCAGUGGGAUAGUUUGCUACGUCACACUGACAAAAUAAUUCAGUAUUCAUACAGAUAAAACUAGUGCUUUUUGCCUCUGUUUUGCAGCAGGAAAUAAUUAGCAAAGAACUCUUAAAUAUUUCAGUGUGACAAAUUACACGCUGUGUUAGCUAAUUGUCACUAAGCCUUAUAUCCCUUUCAAUGAACUCAUGAAGUGGAUCCUGUGAAGUGUGCUGUAUUAAUUGGUGUGUUUUUAAGUGAUUCCUGUGGGGUAUAAAACUCUUCCGUAUUGCACAGAAACAAAACCAGAUUUACAGUAAAUACAAUCUUUUAUGUUGUUUUAACAGCUGUCUUUUACAACAGUUUUAUGAGCUCAUUUUCAUAUUACCCAAAAUCCCCUACUGCAACAAGAAAAAGUAAAUGAUUCAUCAUGAUUAUUUUAUGACAAGAGGGUUUUAGGGCAAAAUACUGUAAAUUCAAUGCACUCAAAAAGAAACUUUUAUUACUGCAGUUAAUUUGUUAUUACAACGCACAUAAGACAUGUGGGCAUCAUAUAUUGUCUUGUUCAUAGCAAUUGAUAAAUUAUACGAGAAGUUUUUGUACUUCAGCCUUAAAUUUGAAAUUCCCAACAAAUCACACGUUUGUAACUAAUCGUGCAAGCCGUUUAGUUAAUGUAACUCUAUAAAUUCUCUCGAUCAGUGUAAAUGAAUCAAUUAUGAUACAUGGACAGAAAUAUAAAGUUCAUAGUAAAAUGAGAUUAUAGAGCACAGUGUCCGAUGUGUUUGUUAUAUUAAAGAGAUAUUGCUGAAAUAACCUCGCAGGGUUAAUCACGAAACUGGGAAUUGUUGGGAAUUCAAAGUAAAUCCAAUUUCAAAUUUUAUGCCAAAAUGAUGAACAAAAAAACUUAGCUGACUUCAGGGCUUUUUUAAAUCCACUCUGAUUCCUAACAAAUUAAACUUUGGUUAAUGACCCUGAAACUUUAUAUUAAAAAAAAACAAAAACCUAAAUUUUGAAAUAGAAAAUAUAUAUAAAAAUACUGUUUUAUAUUGUUCAAGGAUUUUUGAAAUCACUUUACUCAUGUUAAAAGAUGGGGAUUUAGUCACACCCUAUGACUAUACUGUAUUAAGCCCACCACUGUGUCUAAGACCCCCAAUAAUGUUGGGUUCUAUUCUAAUUUUAAUUUAUUGAACAUGCUACUUGCUCCAUUAUGUACGGAUUUAUUUACUAGAAUCUAAAUGGUGAAAUUGAGGCAAAAAUGUUUGAUGCACAGAAAUUUUCUAGAUCAGCUAUUUCAGAGUUAAUAGCCCUAUUAAUUGUAAUACUGAAAUAUUCCAAGAAACUGAAUACAGAGUUGUUUACCUGUAGAUGUCAGGAACGAGAGAAUUCUAAAUUUUAGAUGCUAGGUCAAACAAACCUAGCUGAAAACAUAGCUGACUGAUAUAAUUGAUAUAACUGAUCGUUUUUCUUCUGGCCUCUUAAAAUUCAAUGUGAAUUACAGACAACUCACAAUUUAUUGAAUUACCGUGCCAGUUUCCCAUGCAUGCAGCUAUCAAGAAUUGUGCAUGCGCGAUAGAAUUUGCAUAUACUGCUGUAAGAAUUUAACAAAAUAUUUUAUUUGUUGCAUCAUGGGCUCCUGAGAAGUUCCAGGGGUUUACCUCCAUAAUACACUAUCAACAAUCCCCAAAUUACAUCCAGAGCUGAUUACCCACAUUGGUCCAGAGCCAUGCCCAUCGAUAGACCUUCUUCCCUUGAUUAUAGACAAGCCAUCAUCAUCAUAUUUAUCUAGAGUCCACCUUCCUUAUGUCCAUCUCCAGCUCCCCUUCUCACGAACCAACGACAAUCCCAUUUAAAAAUGGCUUAUUAAUUCGCAACAGUUUAAAAAACUAAUAAUCGUCAUAACGUUUGCUUGUUGAAGCUGUAAUUUAGGGGCCAAACAUUUAGCCGAAAUGUAAAUACAUAUUCAUUUGUAGAUUUUACUUAUCAUUUGUUUAGAGAAAUCUCAAGCCCUGGGCCCCAAAUUGUUAAUAGUUGGACAUUACACCACGGACCUUAAGCACUAUCUAUAUUUAAUGGUCUUGUGACCAUGAUUGAAUACAAGCUCCACCCAUUACUCACCACUCCAUGCACAGUAUGCCUUACCGCAGACCCCUUGCUACAUCACCUUGUGGGACUUGGAUAAUGACUGUCAACAAUAGGAAAUAAUUAUCCUGCAUAAGGUGCCAUAUGGCUAGUAAUAAAUGAGAGGCAAAAGUUCAAAUAUCCUCUUUUCACCUGAACUCAAACACAGCCAAGUGGUAUGCCUCCAGCUGCUGUAAAACUACAGUCCCCUUCAUGUUUUGCCAAGUCUUUAGGCAGGGGAAGAGCUCACCAAUAGGGCUUAUUCACAAAACAGGGAAUUGCUGUAAAUUAUAAACUGAAUUACAAAAUACAACAGGAGGGGGCAUCCUCCAACAAAGAUACAGUCACAGCUAUUUUCGUCAGAAUUUUUCAGUUUGAUUUUCAAUUCAAUAUGGCUCCAUUUUUCGUUAAUAAACCCAAUGCCUUUUUUCCUUCUAAAACACUUUCUAAACAUUUAAAUAAAACACAGACUAUGGUGACAGAAAAAACAAACGAACAAAUGAUUCACCUCUUUUCAAAUUAAGGAAAAAGGUUUAAUAUUUAUGAAUAUGCUUUUUUAAUGAUUUCAAAUGUAUUACUUAUUACUUGUGACACUUUAUUAUAUGUGACACAUCAGUAUAUGUGAAAUGUUUCCAUCUUUAUUAGCACAUUACAUGGUGUGUCUCAUUAUUGAUACACUAUGAUGCAUUUUCAUAGUCCCGUAUUCUUUCAUUUUUAGUUGAAAUGAUACUUAUCCCGUCUUAUAUGAUCUCAAAGCCUCGCCCAUGUGUUUUUUGUUUGUGGGCAUUUCACUCCUCUUGCGUAACCACUCUUUUAUGCGGCUCCGUACAUGUACACUUUAGUGGAAUUGUUACACCCCUUGCGUUCCACCAUUGGUGGGCGCGUUUAUUGACAUUCCAUUGAUUUAUUUUGUGUUUUUUGUUUUGGCAUCAUGCCUUAUUGCCUCCAAUCCCAUAAUUGGAAUGAUGGGGUAAAUGAUCAUUAACACUAAUUAAUUUACGAUACACUGUAUAUAUAGGUAAGGAUUUAAGACCUUUGUCAAGCUAACACCAUGUUUAUUGCAUUAUGAUCCAAUAAAACUGCUCUUCAUUUGAGCCCAGUGAGUGCCUGAAGCCUCUUUUUGGAUGUGCUAAGUGCGUUAAUAUCCAUUCUAUCCGUUUUCUUAUCAUGUGGCAAAAUCACUUGUUGCCAUAACACAAAAUAUCCAACCUUUCAAGAACAUAUUUUAUUUUAAACUCAUAGAUUUAACAAUUGUAAAGAUAGUAUGAAAGUUAAACUUUCUGGGAUAUUUAAGUAAUUGCGCAGAAAUCAGUUCUCCAGACCCCCAGCCUUAGCACAAAGUAAAACUUUCCUUCUACUAGAUCGUAUUUCGAAUUGUCGCUUUUCUAAACUCUCUGGUCCAAACAGAAAAAACCACUGCUAAUUGUCUGUUAUUCAAACUCCACUUGACUUUUUUUUCCUGCUAUCUGCACAUCUGCCUCUCAAUUACAAUGCUUAGCCGCUUACCUUACCUGCUCUUUUUUGUGUUUGACAAACUAAUAUCAGUGUAACUCCAUCUAGCUCCGAGAGCCUGUCUUAUUUACAACCCAUUUACUAUUGUGCUUUAAUUGUGCCAUUUGUUAUCAAACUCUUAGGUUAAUUGAGCGAAUGAUUUAACAAGAUAAAUGUCACCUUAAUAAAAGGAAAAUACUAUUAUCUAUGUUCUAUCUUAAAGAGAAGAAAAUAGUACUUUUUAAAACCAGAGAUAAACUUGGAUCGUUACAGGCUGGUAAGAAAGAAAAAUCAGGAGUAUUUAGUAGGAUCAAUGUAUAUAUUACUGUAAUUUGAUUAACCCUAUAGGAUCCAGUCUUAUUUAUCCCCUUAAGGACCAAACUUCUGGAAUAAAAUGGAUAAUGACAUGUCACACAUGUCAUGUGUCCUUAAGGGGUUAAACUCUUUUUGGAUGAAUUGUCUGCAGUGAAAGCUACAUUUUAGGCAGGACAUUACUUUGAAUUUCGGUCCCUUUACACUUGUUUCGGACCCUUCAUUUGUUGUUAAAGCCAUUAUAAGUCAUUGGCUGUGAUGGGGGUUAAAAAAUCUGUACAACAUGAUAAGGAUGAAGAUGAUACUGGCACAGAGGUUGUGAGAGGUUAUAAUGAAGCUACAGAUGGCAACAUGUCUGGAAAAUUACUUGUGGCUUUACAUUGCAAAUCAGUUAGUGUCUUAAAACUGGAACAAGUACAGAGGAGAAAUAAUGAGAAAUUGAAGAGUUUAGUUAGGAAGAUAGGGUUUAAAGUUGCAGUUUUUUCUACAACAGAAACAUGUCUUAAAUGGUAUAUUAUAAAAUUAUGUAUUUAAAAAAAUAAUAUAUAGAAAGUACCAAUAAAAACUGUCUAUUGUGGCAUCUUAAUUAACAAAUCUGUGUAAAGGAAGGUCAGAAAAAUAGACUUUAAAAAAGGAGAUUUCACCCACAGCAGUAGGUAAAAAAAAAAAUGAAAUGCCUCGGAAGCUGCGAUGUCAUAUUCAGAAGAUACAUCACAAUAUAACAGUAAACAUUGUUAUUAAAAAAAUAUUUGAUCUAGGAAGAAAAGCAACUGUUAUGUAGGAUUCAAUAAGGUUAUUUUUUUUUCCUUUUAAAGCAAAUUUCAAAAUCAGCACAACUUUAUUUACUUUGCUAAGAAAUUAGUGUGCAUGCACAGCUAAACGCCGCUCUACGUUAAUCAAAUGCUCUCAAUGACAGUAAUUUGACCUUGCUGCGGAAGCGCCUCUCAUGCCCGUCUUCCAGACAUCCACUAGAGGCUUGUUGCAAGGAAAAUAUUACUGUUUCUGUUUUGUCUUUUAAAGCACAUUUCAAAAUAUCAAAAUCACUUAUACUGUUUUUAUUUACUUCAUUUUUUUGCCAUUGUUUGGGUCGAUGACAAGGAUGUGUAAAAGGUUGAAUAUGGUGUAUUAUUCCUCAUUCUUUUACCGCUACCGGUUUCCUAUGACGAUUACAACGAAGUUCAUGUCAACAUCAACUAAGUUAAUGAUUAUUUUUCCACAUCUAUUUUGAUUAGUCACCGUUAGUUGCUGCCAUACAAACAUUCCGUAGUGAGAGGGUUAACUGUCACAAUGUUACAUGCCGGGAAACACACAGUUUAAGAGCAAUUAUAAUGCUAUUUAACAAGUAAUUAAUCAGAAAUGCCGUGACAGGGAAAUUCGUAUGUAUCCAGGCAAGAAAGGGUUAACUGCAGUUGCACCGAUAUUAAUGCUGGGUUAUCCGUGUAAUUACAUCUGGUGUGGAUUAGAUGUUUUUUUUGCCGGCCUGAAAAGACUUGACCUAAUUGAACUGAGCAAAGGACGCAUGUACAAUUAUAUGGUUGAAUGGCAGUUAUCUUGUUGUUGUUGUUUUUUUGUAGUUGGUUUUUACAAGGCCGGCAAUUCAGUUUUGUAUUUGUUACAUAAUUCACAUAGUUAAAGUGGAUGAAAAAGAGGUCAGAUGUCAGCUAUCGACCAGUGAAUCUCCCUUUCUCUCCGUCUUGAUCCAAGAUAAUACGUUCAAUUUCUCAUGCCAGGGUUUCAGAAUGAUAAUUAUCAGGAUGGGCCGAAUGGAAUUUCCAAAACAAUAAACAAAGUGACGAACGAGUUUUUUUUUAUCUGAAAUGAAAGAAAUAACAGAAAAAAAUAUUUUUGGACAAAGUGAAAAAAAAAAUUGUUUGAUGUAUUUGAACGAAACCAAUAGGGAACCACAAUGUACAUUGCGUUAUUAAAUCUCAGUUUGAGAAAUAUUGAUAAAAUACACAGAUCUGACACACCUGCACUUUUUUUCUACCUUUUCCAAGCUCUAGCCCAAAUUCCAGAACAACUUCACCAAUUUUUGUUUGCACCCCAACAACAUUUGUUUGUGUUGAUAAUAUGAAGACAAAUGAGACAUUUUCUAAGCAGUCAAAGUUAGCUAGUUUUGUUUUUAAACUUUUGGAUUUUCCAAACCAAAUCAUGAGAGUUUUAGUCAUUUCUAACACAGAAAGUUUUGCACUCUAACAGAUGCGUUGUUUUAUACCCAUGAACAUGUGCUGUUGUUGCCAACAGAAAUACUGAUAUUAUUGACUGAAGUCCUAUGUUGUAGCCCUGAUCACAGCAUUUGGAAUCUGUUGCUCCAUUGUUCACUCAAUCGCUGGUGAAGUCACAACACUUUCCAGUUAAUAAAGAGACCUCUUUGAUGUGGAGAAAGAGGUAUUGUUAUUUUUGGAUGUUGUCACUUUGUGUAAAAUCUGGGACACUUCAUCGAGAGUCAGAAGAACAAAUUUAUUGCUGUAGUGUGGGAUUCUGCUUUUCUCAUACUAAGUGAAUUUAAAUAAUAAAAAAAAAAAAAAUCAAAUGAAACUGACUUCAAUUUCUCUUUGCUUUAAGAUCAAAAACUUUUUUGAAGGAGAGAAAACAGAAGUUUUGUGAGUCACUAAUUGAAUCACGGACGUUCCUAAUGGUUCUCCGAGGGCAUCAGACAAGCUUCUUUACUCGGCACUAAACAAAACCCUUGGAUGUAGCCGGACGUCUGGAAUUUUGAGGGAUCGCUGAAUCAGAGGCUAGUGUGCGGUUAUGUUCUUGUUUUUGCCACAAAAGGAGGUUGUUAUGAAACCAUGCUCUAAUAAGAUCCAUGUGAAGAGGUGAAAAUGCUUUUGUGUGCUAGAAAAAUACUUGUCCAAAACUGUGUG